rnacentral:lncRNA from 1 species
AUUUCCUUUCUUUACUGGAGCCAGUUCAUUUCUUAUUCCCAUAUCGACCAAGUCCAAUCUUGCGUUGACGCCAUCUUUAGACUUUCCUGGAACAUUGAGUAACGUACCAAUAACACUUUCAAAUACAUUUUUUUCAAUAUGCAUCACAUCGAGGAAAUGUCUUACAUACAAUGACUUCCAAUAUGGCAAUUCAAAGAAAAUUGACUUUUUCUUCCACCCAGUUUUCACCAGCUCUCCCGCAAAAGGUUUGCCAAAUUUAUUGGUCAAACCUUGUACUUUUUCAAGUAUUUGAUAUCUAGUCAGUGCUAAAGGAGCUUUACCUUCCUCUGAUUUUCCACUGAAUGCAUUUCUCCACCCACGAUACUGAUGACUAUAAGGUAAAAAUCUACGAUGUCCAAGAAACACAUUCUUCUUAGAAUGUUUUAACCGAAUCCAAUUUGUACUCUCUUCACAUAUAGGACAUGCACACUGAACUUUAAUGUUAUAUCUUGAUAAAUUACCAUAUGCUGGAAAAUCAUUAAUUGUGCUGAACAAUAUAGCCCUCAAAUUGAAACAUUCUUUCUUAUACCCAUCAUAAACUUCCACACCUGUCUCCCACUUUUUAAAUCUUCAAUUAAAGGAGUCAAGUAUACGUCGAUAUCAUUCCCCGGUUGUUUGGGUUCAGAAAUUAACAGAGACAACAUCAUAAACUUACGCUUCAUACAUAACCAUGGAGGUGGGUUAUAAAUCAACAAAAUCACGGGCCACGUGUUGUGUGAGAUGCUUUGAAGACCAUGUGGAUUCAUUCCAUCAGUAGAAAGUGCAAGUCUUAGAUUUCUUGACUCUAUCCCGAAUUCAGGAUACUCGUGAUCAAUUUUUGCCCAUUAUGGGGAAUCUGCAGUGUGUCGAAACAUUCCAUCUCUAAUUCUUUCAUCUGCAUGCCAUGUCAAGUGUUUUGAAUCUUCUUCACUUCGAUACAUGCGCCUAAAUCUUGGUAUUAUAGGAAAAUACCACACGACUUUUGCUGGAGUAGAUUCUUUCUUCUUAUAUCGAGAGACAUUGCAUUUCGGACACGCCUUAAGUAGUUCAUAUUCGUUUCGAAAUAAAAUGCAAUCGUUAGGACACGCAUGAAUCCUUUCGUAACUCAUUCCAAUAGAACACAAAAUCCGUUUAGCCUCGUAGGUCCGACUGGGAAGUUCAUUAUCAUCUGGCAACAUAUCUUUUAUGAGUGUUAAUAAUUCUGUAAAGCUUUUAUCAGACAAUCCAUUACUCGCUUUUAAGUUGUACAACUUUAAUAUCGCUGACAGUCUUGUGAAUUUAGUACAACCAUUAUAUAAUUCUUUCUCUGCAUCACUCAACAAACUUUCAAACAUUUUAGGACAAUCUCGAAGAUCUUCUUCAACUGCUUUUGCAAUCUCAUCAACUCGGUCCGGCUCAUAUGUAUCUGUAUCGAAAUCAGUUGAAGCAUAUGUAGAACUAUUCUCAAAAUUAAUGUUUCCUUUUUUUUUCUCACCUAAAUGUCCUUCCAAUUCAUCUUCUCUAACGCGUUUUCCAAAACAACAUUUUAAACAAGGACAAACGACUCUAUUUGGAUCUUUUGUAUUCUUCACUGCAAACUCAACAAACUCCUUCACUCCAUUUUCAUACUCUUUUGACAAUCGAUUGGCAGACAUCCAUUUCCGAUCCAUAUUAUAUGAUCACCUAUAUAAAUGCAAUUACAAAAAUAAUAAGCUACUGAACAGAUCAACAAAUUUCAAAAAGAAACCAAUAUCAACAUAUCUAAUAUUGGAAAAUGGAACCCAAGGUCCAUUAUUAUGUAACAAUUUCAAAAUAGAAAAGAUUUCAAAACAGAACAGAUCAACAAAUUUCAAAAAGAAAAGAUUUAAUAUGUAACAAUUUAUUAGUUUUCAAUUAUUAAAAAACUAAAGAUUAUAAGCUACUGGACAAAUCAACAAAUUUCAAAAAGAAACCAAUAUCAACAUAUCUAAUAUUGGAAAAUGGAACCCAAGGUCCAUUAUUAUGUAACAAUUUCAAAACAGAAAAGAUUUCAAAACAGAACAGAUCAACAAAUUUCAAAAAGAAAAGAUUUAAUAUGUAACAAUUUAUUAGUUUUCAAUUAUUAAAAAACUAAAGAUUUUUUGACAACAACAAAUUAAUAAAUACCCGAGACAACGUAGAUGGCCGCACAGUACGUAGAGGAUAUGAGGGUUCCCAGAGUAGAGGUGAUGAGGGUUCGUAAAUUUGUUUUUAUUUAUUUAAAAGUAAAUGAUUUUUAUUUAAAGUGCAUGUCUUUUACAGUGCUUGUGGAAAAAACGCUGUAAUAGGUAAUUUAAUUAUUUGAAAGCGCAUGCCUUUUACAGCGCUUGUGGAAAAAACGCCGUAAAACAUUAUGUGAGGGCGCUUUAGUUUACAACGCUUGCGUACAAGCGCUUUACAGCGCUGUAAAAGCCUUGUAAACAUUAUGCCAAACGCUAUAUGACCCUACAAAAACGCUUUUUUACAGCGUUUGUAAAAAAAACGCUGUUAUAGGCUCCGUUAUUUUUAAAAUAUAUUUACAACAGCGCUUAUAUUUAGUAAGCGCUAUAAAAUGAGCGUUAUAAAAUGAACGCUAUAAAAUGUCAUUUUUGGCGUAGUGUGACUUGCUAUUUUUUUAAAUUAAAUAAUAACAUGUCAGUAAUUUUUUUUUUAAAAAAGAGUGGAAAAUUAUGAAAUUAAAAAUAGAAUAAAUGUGGGGACUAAAAUUAUUUAUUUAAAAUUAAGAGGGAUUAAAUUGCAAAAUUUAAAAAUUUAAAAAUUUAAAAUCGUUCGUUUGGAAUUAAGAGGACAAGAUUGCACAAUUAUUAUUUUUUAAAAUAAUUUAGGGAUUUUAUUUUUGAAGAAAAAGUACGUUUAAGGUUUAAAAAACACUUUUCUUAUGCUUCCCCUCACGAGAGUGAACACCUAUCACAGAUUAUAUGUAGAAAAAACCAAAUCAUAUGUAGGAAUCAAAAGACAACGGUCUUUUCUUUUGAUAGAAAGAAAAUAGAGUAAAGACUAGUAUUAAGUUCAACAAAAAUAAAUUAUUUUAAAUUGAUGAUCAAUGCAGGUGUGCAGUACCUUAAACGAAAAGAUAUGGUCAUCUCAUAUGUGAUUAAUGUCUUUUAACCCAUUUGGUUUUAUUCGAAUCAAUCUAGAUUUUUCAACAAGAAUAUUUGUUUUUUUCAUAGACCGAUCUCUCUAAUUCUUUAAUUGCUUCUAAUAUUCCUUUAUAUGAAAAUUGCAGCAAUCAACACAUAUAUUUAUCUUCUUUUGAGUCUUAUUUGAUGCAUUACUUCUUUAUUGAUGUCCACCUAUCUAAAGCUCCAAAAAUUGUUUAGGUCAUCUGACAGCCUCCUCCUUCCUAUAUGAUUAAGGGAGGAAAAUUCUUGUAUUGACUUGUUGGCUAAUUUUGGUAUUUAUAUUCAGGGAUUUGUCUAGCGGAAUAUUGUUCCUCCUUUUAUGUCGAAUGGGUUUUUUAGAAAUAUGAUUCAUCUUAUAGUUUUAGAUCCUCUUGAUGUGUUUAGGUUUUGGUGGUUCCCCAUGCUUCUUUUAGCAAUUUUUUAUUUAUUUUCUAUUAAUAAUAUUUGACGUUGUAGAUAAUUAUUAAAGUCGGCGGUGUCAACUUAAUUGAGGUCGUUGGCGAUGAUAAUUCCCUCUGCAUCCUUUCUUUGAAAUAAAAGAAAAUUACAACAUGUAACCACAUUGAAGAAUUAUAUACUAUUUUUUCAAUUUUUAUUUAAAAUGUUUGCACAUUAUGAUAAUUUGUUUGUUAAUAUAAAAUAACUUUAUAUUAUUGCAGGAAAAAAUAACUUUAUAAUAAUUUAUAACAAUCAUGUAUCUCAAUUAUUCUAAUUUUUUUUUUGUAUUUUUGUGAGAAAUCUUUAAGAAUAAUAUUUAUGACAACUUAAAUUUUAUCCUUCUAAAUAAUCGGCAUCCUUUUAAGUUUGUUAGUGUAAAAUUGUAAUUCUAAAACCUAACAUUUGCUAUUUAUAAGCCUCAACUAAAUAUUGUUGGAAAAAUAAAUAAAUAUAUAGUAAAAUAAACAACACAAUCUUAACACAAAAAUAUAACGUGAAAACUCUUAAUCUGGAGAAAAAAUCACAAACAUUGUCAAAUUACAACCAAAGUAUACCACUAUAUGAAACUUCUUACAAUACAUAGACUUCUGUCAUUCUUCUCAUGGCUCUCCUUACGCUCACACUCUCUAAAAUAAAUAUUUGAGUUAUAUCUCACAACACUUUAAUACAAGAAUAUAAGAGAAAAUAAAAGAAUUAGAUACAAACUUAAAGUAUUUUUGACCAGUGUAAAUUGUAAUGAAAAACUAGAAUCAUAUAUAUAGCAUCGAGUUCCCUCUUUCUUUACAAUUCCUAACAAUGUUGGACAAUUUCAACAUGUAAUAUUUCAAACAACUCUAACAAAUAUAAAAACAAAAACUAGUUGCUUCAACAUUUACAACAUUGACAAAUCAAUUCAUUCAUAGAUGAAUCGAUUAAUAGACGGUCUAUUUUGGGUGAAUGGUUUCAUUCUCAAAUUAAUCAAUUCAUUUUACUUGAUAUUCUCAAAAUGAAUCGAUUAAUAAAUAAAUUGUUUUUUUGCAAAUUGAUUCAUUUCAAUGAUAUUGAUUCAAUUCAUUUCAAAUCGAAUUGAUUCAUUUUCUUAACUCGCAUUUAACAUGAUUUCUAGACUAUUGUGAAUCAAUUCAUAUGUUAUAAAAUGGCCGGAAAGUGUGCAUGGAUUGACCAAACAAACAUUUAUGCAAUGACAAUGUGUUUAAUGAUUCAAGAUGAAUAUAGUUCAUCUAAGUAAUGUAUGCUAACAUGAAUAUGCAAACACCCUUUAGAGUCAUAAUGGUUUUAAAAAAGAUUGAAACUAAUCAUUUGCGAGAACCUUCACUUUUUUGCCGUAGUAAAAACAUUCUUCAAUAAUAUGUAAGGGGCCUGCUUGCAACCAAAAAAUGUGUUUUAAACUUUUUUGAAAAGUUAAUGAUAAGUUGAAAGAAUAUAAACACAGAUUUAUUUUGGUUCACCACUCAAUUGAUAACCACGUCUAGUUUUUUUAAUUUAAAUGUUUUUCCACUAAAUCAAAUUGAUUUAAUCUUUUCAAAUUUCAAACUUAAUACAGUCAAGCUCUUGAGAAACACAUUUAUGCAAACUUCUAGCUUAGUACAAUAAAGCUUUUUAGUACAAAUUUCCAAGUUUAAUAGUCAAUUUUUGGAAACACCUUCUCAAGUUUUUAUCUUAGUAUAGUCAAGCUCUUGAGGAUAACACUCUUACUCAAUUUUCUAGUUUAAUACAGUCAACCUUUUGAGUACCACUUUCCAAAUUUCUAGCUUAGUACAAUCAAGCUUUUGGAAACAACUUUCUCAAGUUUCUAGCUGAGUACAAUCAAACUCUUGAGAAUAACACUUUACUAAAGUUUCUAUCUUAGUAUAGCCAACUUCUUGUGUACCAUUUUCUAUAUUUCUAGCUUAAUACAAUCAAACUAUUGGAACACAAUUUUCUCAAGUUUCUAACUUAAUAGAAUCAAGCUCUUGAGAAACAAUAGCCACUAUGGGAUCAAAUUACAAAGACAAAGUUACAAUAAAACAACUCUUCUCUAAAAGUUGAUAAUAAGUUUGGAAUUCAAGGUUCCCUUCUCAUUUUAAUUUCUCGCUCUUAAAGUUUUUAUAGUGUGGUGGUUUAGUGAGUUUUUCAAUCUUAUAUGAUGAUUGUUGCAAAUGAACAAGAGCAAAUUUAUAAUUUUUAGAAUAUUGCCAUUGAAGUUUGACAUCCUGUGACCAUUGCUAGUAUCACAUGGAGCAUACUAAGCAUAACUUGUAGGACCUAGUACUAACAUAUAUGGUAGUUACAAGAUUCAAAUGUUAUCCAUUGUCAUUGUCAUUGUUGUUUCUAUGAACUUUGACUUCCUUGUUCAAGACGAAUGGUAAAUUCUAGAUAACUACUCUCUCUUACUGAUUCUUCUGAUCCUUAAUAUUUACCAUAUUAGAAGAAAUGUUGUAUCAAAUGAUUUAUGCUUGAGUCAAUCCUUGAUUGUUCACCAGGGCCACGUAAACAAAAUUUGUGCUACUUUAGAGUUUGAGGGUUUCAUUGAAGUUUAUCUUUAGAGCUGAGCAUACUUAUCACUUGGAGGGUCACCAAAGUAUCUGUGCUCUUAGAGCAAAUGUAAAAGAAUAAAUUAUUAUCUUAUAUAUUUUGUUAUUUACCAACUAAAAUUAAAGAUCAUUAUUCUUCAAAUCAACUUAGUUCUAACUGAUUAAAUGUGCAACCAAUUUGAAGUUUAAUUAUUUUAAGGUUAAAUAUUGGUGGAGAGUAAUUCAUUUCGAGGUUCAAGUUCAAUUAGUUGAAAACUAUUUCACAAUUUGAGGUUAUUGUAUUAUAGAAAAAGAAGGCUUUGGUUUACUUGAUUGUGUAGUUAUUUGCUCAACGAUUUUAUGUAUAGACAUAUCAUCAUUUUGAUUAUUGGAAGAAACUCCUUUUCCGGUUGAUUAUGAAUAAGACGUACACAACUAAUGAGGAUGGUGCAGGGAACAUGUAUAAAAAUCAUUUUCUUUUCUUUAUUCAAUCUCUUUAAAAUCUUUAUUAUAUUUGAUUAAUUGAGAAAAAUCUAAUUCUUGACAUAGUUAAUAAUGUGGAGGAAAAUUAUGUUUUUGUGAAGUUCUUGAGAUAUUGAGGUGUAUAAAAACCAAAAAAUUUCUCUCAUUGUUAUACCAUUUCAGUUUUAGAUACUCUAUCAAUUGUGUUAGCAUUUAUAAUUCUCUUUACUAAAAUGAAAUUGCACAUAAAAAUAUGUUUUUCACUAUUUUGAUAGUUUUAUUUAUUUAUUUAAACACCAUAACUUUUUUAGUUGUACAAACUUCCAAUUGUACAAAUUAUUUUGGUUGAGAAUUACAUCAACAGUUUUACUUUAAUCAAUCUCAAUUUUCUGUGGUAUUGAAAAUUGAACUAGCCAUUAAAAGUUUAAUUGAUUUCACUUUGAAAUUAAACUUCAAUCUCUUGACAUUGCAAUUUACCUUGUGUUGGUGAUUUGCAGCUUGAUCUUAGUCAUUGUUAUCCAAUCUUCCAAUCACAUUAAUAAAAUCUGAAAAGUAGUUUUUAAAGUUUUGAAAAUUAAAUUUAUUCGAUAAAAGCACAUAACUCUAUUUGCCCUCUUUAUAUUUCAAAAGGUACAUAGUCUAACACAACAUAUUGGAAUUCAUUGAGUAAUUGUUCCAUUUCAACUAAAAGAAUAGUUUUAGCAUUUGCUUUGAACAUUAAAAUAAAACUCAUGGCUUAAACUUUAUUUGUAGUUAUCUUGAGUUGUUCAUUUGUAACCAAAAACACUAAUGGCGUGGAUUUCUUUUUUUCAUCAUCGAUUUCAAAUGGUGGUAAUGGAGCUUAAUUUUCUCUCAAUCUUUGACAAAAUGACUAUGUGGUUGUGUAACCGUCAUAUACGGCACAAUAAUAUUUUUUUAUCUCUCAUGUAAAAGGUGAAAUGCAUAAGGAGUGGACAAUAUUUGCGGUCCCAACAGACCCAAGAGGAUAUUUAAUCUUGCAGUCGGGUUUUUUUAUUAUUAUUAUUAUUAUUAUUAUUAUUAUUAUUAUUAUUAUUAUUAUUAUUAUUAUUAUUAUUAUUAUUAUUAUUAUUAUUAUUACUAUUAUUAUUAUUAUUAUUAUUAUUAUUAUUAUUAUUAUUAUACACAUAGAGUCACAGACGCAGUAUAAACAUCACACACAACCCAACUCAAGUUUUUAUUUAUAAAAAAAAUCCAAUUAUUGAAUUGAAAUCCUAGUAGAAAGUAUCUCUUUCAUUUUCAUCUCUCACUCUCAAAUUAGCUACCUCACUCCCUCUCAAACUCUUAUCUUUGUUGCUCAAACAUAGUCACAACCUCCCACCACCGUCGUUGUCACCAUCACCUUCAUCUCACCAAACAUGCAUGAAAAUCCACUUGUAACCUAAGUUUCCUUUGAACUUUUUACCAAACUCUAACCCUCCAAUCUAAUUUUUUUUUUUUAUUCAAUGUUUAUCUUGAAAGAUCGUUCUUUCUUCUCCAACCGCUCAACGAAGAACCUCCUUCUACUGUUUGUUUGAAAGGUUCUCAUCGAAAUUACUCUUUUGUGUUAGGGUUAGCUCUUUUUUCACUAAUAUUUUCUUUAUCAUAUUUCCAAUAUAUUUAGGUAUUAAUAAUAUAGAGGUUAUCCAUAUCUCAUUUCUUUGUAUAAUUUAUUUCUUAUUCCUUUCCACAAGUAUGUGUUAUUUGAUAAUUUUUAAGUAACAUUAUACUGCUUUUGUUCAUGUUUCUUGUAUAAAUGGUGUAAUUUAUUAUAAAGAUUUUUUGCAGUCAAUAGUGCUUUUAUAUGUAGUUUAUAUAGAUUAAGAUUUAUUAGCUUUAGAUUUGUAAUUAUUUACAUAUUGUUUUAUUUUCUAUUUUUGUAGGCUACAGUUUUAUGAUCUUGUAUUUUUUGUUUUAAGGUAUAUGUUCUUGUAUUUUUUGAGUUUAGGUGUCUAGUUUUAUGUCCAUGUUUGAUAGUUAAUUCUUAUUACGGUUUUAAGUAAUCUUUGGGUUAAGGUUUUAAGUAAGUUUAUAGAUUAAGGUAUUAUGACUUCUUAAGGUUGUAAGUUAGGUUUUACUGAGUAUAUGUUAAUGUUUGAUAUGUUUAUUCCUUUUAGUUUUACUUUUUUACUUUCAUGGUUGAAAUGUUUAUUCUUUGUAGUUUUAUAUUAAUGUUUGAUUUGUUUAUUCUUUUUAGUUUAACAUUAAUGUUUAAUCUGUUUAUUCUUUUUCGUUUUACAUUCUUGUUUGCCUCCUUAUAAUUAAAUAUUUCUACAUUGUAGAUUAUGUUGAAUGCUUAGUACUUUUAAAUUUUUUCUGGUUUGAAAUAAUGAAGCAAGGCCAAGAAGGCAAGAGCAUGCAAGGAUCUAAGGAUCUAGAUAAAAAAGAAAAACUAUAAGUUAAACAUAUUAUAAAUACUUUGCGAAUCAAAUUGUUGAAAAUAUAUUGUGUAUGUUAUUUUUAGACUAUAUGAUUUUUUAGAAUAAUUUAACUUGUCUACUAUCUUGUGCAUGCUAAUAAUAUGCUUCAUGUGAUAUGAUAAUUAAGUCUAUUUCAUAUUUAUGAGUUAACUUGUCUAAAGUCUAGUUUGAGUUUACGAGCUGAACAUGAUUCAAUUUGCAUGAAUUUAUAUGAUUUAUUUGUUAGUUGAACCUAUUAUGUUAAUUGUAAGUGACAAAAUGCAUUUUAUAAGAUUAUGAGUUUCAGUUUGUAUGAAGUUGAUUAUGUAAUUUUACGAUAUGCUCAAAUAAUAUGAUUAUGAGCUGAUUUAUUUCAGUUUGUAUGAAUUUUAUAUGAUAACAAGUGACUCAAUUUUUAAACUAACUCACUAGUCAGUUAGUUUCUACUUGAAGCAACUUAUAUAGUCAUAUAAGAGGAGUUCUUUCAUAUAAAAAAUAUUCAAUGAGAUAAAAUUGUAGAUUAAAAAACUGAAUAUUGGAAUAGACUUUUAUUAGGCAAAUAAUAGGAGUUGUUUCAUAAAAUAGGAAUUUCACAUAAAUAUUUAAAUUAGGAACAAUUAAUUAUGAACCUUAAUUAAGACAAUAAUUGAUAAUGAAAACUUAAACAAAUGAAUUCUUUGAUUAAAAAUUGAAUAUCAGAAAACUUAAUUAGAUUUAAACAAAACAGUCUUUAUGUUUUAGUGAUGGAGCAGUCUUCUCCUGAUCUUUCUCCAAAUCAAAUAUCUACUAAUAUUCAAUCCACUCAAGUUAUUAAUCAACCUACAACAUAAGCAGCUACUCUUCCUCCUUCUAGGAAGAAGAGAAAAGACAACGCAGGUGGUUCUUGAAAAACUUCUAAGGUUUGAGAUCAUUUCAACGAAGCAUCUGAUUGUGAUGUUAGAACUGCUGUAUAUAAAUACUUCCAUCAAAAGUAUUUUGUGAUGCCAAGCAACACGGUACUUCAAACAUGAAACAUCACAUGCUAAGAUGUACAAGUUAUCCUUCAAAUGUAGUAACUGACUCUAGCCAAACCAUUUUACAAUUUUCAACAAGUGAGGGAUCUAGUUUCUUUGUUGCAAGCUCUAGAUGUAAUGCCUAAAUAUGUAGAAAGGCUUUGUGUAUUUUUAUCAUUUUGGAUGAGUAACCCGUUAAAGCAAUUGAAGUGGAGGAAUUGAAGUACCUUUGUAAAAAAUUAUAGCCCCAAAUUACCGUUCCAUCAAGGCUUACUAUAGUAAAGGACUUUUUUCAGUUGCAUUUUCAUGAAAAGGUUAGGUUUGAAGGGUUCUUCAGGUUAGAUUUCAGUAGGGUGGUUAUUUCUACCAUCAUAGUUGAUAAUGCAUCAUGAAAUUAUAUUGUAGUAGGAUUGUUGAAGAAAAAGACAAAAAAUCAUGAAUAGACUAUUGUUGAACGUGGCUUUUUUCAUAUUAGAUAUUGUGCACAUAUACUUAAUUUACUGGUGACUGAAGGAUUGAAAGACUUUGACUCUGCAAUUUCUAGAAUUUGAAAUGUUGUGAGGUUUAUAAGAUUUGCACCAAAUAGGAUUGCAAAGUUUAAAGAGUAUAUAUAAUUUGCUGAAACUCCAAGCAAGAAAUUGUUGUGUCUAGAUGUUCAAACAAGGUGGAACUCGACAUACUUAAUAUUUGAAGCAGCUAUAAGACUUCAACUAUCCUUGUCAAGCUUGAAGAGGAGGAUUCAAGCUAUAGGGAACACUUUGGAGAUGGUUCCCCACCCACUAAUGACGAUUGGGAAAAAGGCAAGUGUUUUGUAAGGUUUUUGAAGUAUUUUUAUGAUGCAACAAAAAUAUUUUCAACCUCACAACAAACAAGUUUGCAUAUCUCUUUUCUCCACUUGGAUUCCAUCUAUAUUGAACUUAAGCAUUCAUCCUUGGACCUCAACACUUUUUUUUGCCUCAAUGGCUAAGGAAAUGAUAAAGAAGUACGUCAAAUAUUGGGGCAAUGAAACUAACAUAAAUCGGCUUCUUUACUUUUGCGUUAUUUUAGAUUUCAAUACAAGUUAAGAUAUGUGGAAUGGUGCUUCAGUGAUACUAUCAUGACAAACCACUUUUUGUGGAAAGUUUUUUGAAAUCCAUUAAUUCUAAUCUUACCAAAGUGUACAACUGGUACAAGUAUGCUUUUGAAACAACUGCAACAUCUAGUACUUCAUCUUCGAGUGCUUUUGUUGUUGUUUUCCAUAGUGAAACAACUAAAGUUGGUGACUUUGAUACACACUUAUAAAGGGAAAAUUCUUUUCAUCAAUAUUUGAAGUCAAAAGAUUCAAUUGAUGUUGAAAGUGAGCUUGAAAGAUAUACUAAUGAGAAGUGUAUUGAGUUUGUAGAAAGGGUUUACAUUCUAAUGUUGUAGAAACAAUGCUUGUCGAUAUUCGAUUUUGUCCAAUAUGGUAAGAGACAUCAUGCCUACACCAAUUUCUAUAGUGGCUUCUGAGAGCGUUUUUAGCACGGGGAAAUAUUUAUAAUAUUUAUUUUUGUGCAACAUGUUAAGUAACUGUUUUUUUCAAUGUAUGAUAGAAAUAAAUGAAAAUUCGGCUAGAAGUGGCUCACCUUCCUUCUCUUAGACUCAAUCACAACCUUUAGGUUGGGUUAAAAGUAUUAUAGGUUUAGUUUAUAUUUAUAGCAUUUUUGGAGCCUUGAAGACUCACGAGUACAACCAACCACUAUUAUUUCUUUUUUACAAUAUUUUAGAUUUUGGAAAUGAAGUAUUUUGAAGAUGGAGUAUUUAACUGGGGUUGUUUUAAAAUUGUUAUGUUCAUUACAAGGUUACAGUUCUAUACACUUAAUUGAUAUCCACUUCAACUUAUGUAGAUUGUUAUGUAUGUUAUUAAUCUAUGAUUGGUUUUUAAAUUAUAUAAAGGUGAGACUUGUAGUGUCAUGGUGGGAAAGAACAAGAAACUAUAGUGUCAAAGUUUUUAAAUGAUAUGAAGGUGGAAACUUCAGUGUCUAUGGAUUGUUACAACAAGACACUGUAGUGUGAAGGUGGGCAAGAACAAGAGCAACCAAUAUAUAAUUAAUUUGAAAUUCAAUUAAAUUUCUCUAAAAUGAACUAACUUCAUUCAUGUUAUUAUUUCAUAGAUUUGUUAAUUUAAUAUUUCAUAUUUUUUGCCAAAUUUGUAGGUAGUUGUUUACCGUGGAAAUAUAAUGACAAUUUCAUGUGAAUUGCCAAUAUGAUAAGUAUCCAGUCAACAAAACUAAAACUAAAACUAUGAUGAAAUUGAAAUUGUGUGAGUGAUGAAACUGAAAGUGAAAUUUGGACUGUAAUUUCAAUAUUAAUUUGUAUGUCGUUUAGUUUGGUUGGCUGUGUUGUGACACGAAUUUAUGUAGAAGACUUUAUGUCCUCAAUGCUUUGUUACAUGUGUUGUGACACUAAUUUAUGAGGAAGGCUUUAUUCUCUCAGUGCCUGAAAACUAAACUAUCAUUAUGAUUAUCUUUGGUAAUUUUAAUGUGCUUUAGAAAGUAUUAUAAUUAUCCUUUUGCAAGUUAUUUGUGACUUGUAAUAGUUAGGCCAUAAGUACUACCAACUAUUUUGUAAUAGUUAGGCCCAGAAAAAUUUAAUAGUUAGACUCAUAAAAAUUUAACUAAAUGGGUGACAUUAAUGAAUUCAUGUUUUUUAAAAUUUGUUUAAAAAAAAUCCAUUUUUAGUAACUUUUUCAUGAAAAACGAUAAAAAAAAUACAAUAGCACCUUCGUUGGGCCACCUGGUUAAUCCGACCCAUCAACCCGUCUAACCAACACCCAACUCAAACCGCUAUAAAAAGGUCGAAUUGUGGGUCUACAAGUGUCACCCGUGGAUUGGUCCGUAUGUGGGGUUUAUGCUUGAACCUGCCCGUUUGUCCACCCUUAACUUGCAUACAUAAGAAUAAUAUCACACCAUACUUUAUCUUGAUACUUUGCACCAAUAGAAAAACUCACUAGACAAUGUUUCAUGACUUUAACUUCACUACCUUUGUUGAGCCACUGUAAUUUGUAUCGAUGUGAAAGAUUUUGGGCUUGUAGCUCCAAUUUAUACACCAUGUAAUUAGUAACCACAUUCUCUCAACAUACAUGUCAAUUGUAACCUCACAAACCAUUCCUAAAGCAGUGCAUCAGUGAUGAGAACCUAUGAAUGACACUUGAAAUCAAUCUUAAAAAAAUAAAGAAGGAUCCAACCCAUAUUUUAUCUAAUUUAUUUUUUCUUGAAUAUGUUUUAAUGUGUGUAAUGGGUUUGCACACAUGUUUGUUGAAACAAAAAUAUUUUUCUUUGAGAAUUAUGAGUAAGAUCUUCUCUUCUUUGAGUUCUUGGAUUGAAACUUGUUUGAAUCUUAUCAAUGGUUUCCUUACCAAUAUGGCGAUUGAUCUUAGCUUAUCAAUCAUAUUGAUUGCAGUGCCUUCUUUCUCUAUCUCUUAAUCAAUUCCAUCUUUUUGUUUAUUUAUUUUCAUUUUUUUACCGCAUCAAUUGUUUAUCCUUUGUUUUUAUUUUACUUUAUUUUUUUACUUAACAUUUUAAUGUGAUUCUCGGUUUUGAUUCAGAUUUCAAUUGCCUUGGAUACGAAAAAUAUUUGCUUCACUUCCUUUUGAAUGUGAUUAAAGGGAAUUGAUUUUUUUUAUUUGUCUUGGUCCAUUUGCUUUGGCCUUCAAACAUCCUAAUUCUCUUACAAUAAUAACUCAUGGUACUCACUCUUAUUUAUUCGGGUGUUGAAAAUAUUGUGUCUUAACUACAAUUUUUCUUUUAUUAUCAUUGUGAGUAGGCUUCUUACGUGUAUUUGGUUCGGGGUAGAUGGAGAUGUGGGGAUAUAAUAUUUUAAAUUAUGUGUUUUGUUUAACUUUUUAGGAGGGGAGGUGAGCAAAAUUCAUCCUUAAGUGAUUUCGUUAUCUUCUUUAAAACCAUUUAAAAUAUCUCCCAUGUUUUUAAACCAAACACAAAACCAUUAAAAAUACAUAAUCUUCCCUCCCCUCUCUACUUCCUUUUGUACAAAACAUGUCUUUAUUUUUCAUCUCUCCCCUCCAUCCAUUAAAAUAUCUCUCAUCUCCUCUCCUAUGCUAAACGAAACAGACUCUUAAUGAUUCACCACAAUGAGUUCUUCAAUAUAAAUGGCCCUACCACUUCUUCUUCAAACUAACUUUGAGAUUUAUAUGCUUCUCCUUUGAUUAUGAUAAUGGUUCUUUGAGUUUGACAAUUUGAUGCUAUGUCCAAUUCUGUUAUAUUUAAAGUGUUUGUGUUCCCUAGGAUGGUUCUCUUUUAUGGAUUUACAAUGAGGUUUACUUAAGGCACUAGUUUGAUCACCUGAUAUUUUGCAUGUAUAUGGAGAAUUUUUUUAAUGGUGGAAAAAAUUCUAUAAGCAAGCAUUUUGGGUGAAUCUUUCUCCAUUUAGAUGGCUAGAUGAGUAAUAUUGUCCAAUGACCAAUAUUAUUGGAGCUAAUUAGAUUGAGACAUAUAUGAGUUUAAUCUUCCAGGGUAACGAGUUAUUGUCUACUUCUCCCUUUCAUGGAUGUCACACUUCAUCAUCAACUUAUCAAAUUCUCUAGUGUAUUCUUCGACUGUUGAAUAUUUAUAGUGAGAAGGCAAGAACUUCCUGGUUAGUUUUCGACGUAUUUUCUUCCAAGUUUUUUAUCUUGCUUUUUCUUUUGUGCGUUCUCUUCUUUAUAAGGCUCUCCCCACAAAUGGGAGUAUAUCUUUUUAACUUGAUAACAAUGAUAUUUACCUUCUCAUGUGCUAUCUCUUUGUAUUCAAAUAUUAUUUCAAUAGUUUGUAACCAAUCGUCAAAUUUAUCAUGUUGGAGUUUUCCUUCAAAUUGAGAAAUGUCUCAUCAUUUUUGAAUUUUUGUAUUAGAAAAUGAUGACUUCGAAAUGAUGAUGAAACACCAUUAGAUUCAUCAUUGUUUGAUUGAAUUUGUUUGGCUUCCAACAUGUCAAAAAUUUAUAGUCAAUGAAGGAAAAAACAAUAUCAAAACCAUAUAAUGUAUUCCGAAAUAACUAGAAGUUCUUGUCUUCUCACUAUUAUAAAGAUAAUUUCAUCCAAAUAUAAAAUCUUCAAGAUAAAAACUUAUCUAUAGAAUAAUACACCGAGAAUUUGAGAGGUUGAUGAUGAGUUGUGAUAUCCACAAAAGGGAGGUACAACCAAAUCUUGCCUCAUUUCACUAUAAGAAAAUUGAUUAUUUGUGGUGGCCAAAGGCCACACAAAGUUUAUGGCAGCCUAAACAGUCACAAAUUUGUGGCAGACAAAAUCAUCACAAAUUUGUUUUGUAACAAAAUUUGUGGUUGCCUAAGCUGUCACAAAACCCAACAAAAUAUUGUGGCAACAAAAGCUCUCAUAAACUACUCACAAAGUUUGUGAGGGAUUUUUCGGUCGGUAACAUAUUUGAGUUUUAUUAUUUGUGAUAUUUUUUUAGCCACAAAUCUUUUUUAAGUUGACCACAAAUCAAGAGUUUUCAGUAAAAGAUUAUAUUAGAGAAUUUAAAAGUUGAGCCCAAUGGACCAACCUGUCCCAUCCCGAAUUAGUAAUUUGAGAGUUUGAAGAGAAAUGAUCAAAAGAGCUAUGGAAACUUGAAAUUGAAGAAAGUUUCCAAUAAAUCAUUUUGAUAAAAGAUAAAAAAUGAUACAAUGAUACUCUUAUUUAUAGUGGUUAGUGAACACUACCAUUCUAACUAUUUUCUCUAAAUAACUCUAUUUGUAACUAAUUACUCUAAUUAACUCUAACUGUAAUAGACUAUUGAAAUUCUUAACCCUCCCGCUCAAACUCAGAAUUGAGAAAUUUAUUAAUCUGAGUUUGAAUUUUAAUUGUUAUGAACAUUUAACAUGUUGAACAAUGCAAUCUAAAAAUGUAAUGAACACCUAUUUGCAAGAAACCUAAUUAAUCACCAAACUGUUUGCGGCCACUGUUCCUAAUAUGUAUUGGAUUUUCUUGCAAUCGAGAAAAGAAUGUUAGCUUUUGUACCCCCCAAUUAAACUUGUACCUCCCAAUUUGUUAAAAAUCCAAUUUUAUCCUUAAUAUAUUCAUUCACGUGAGUGGUAAAAAAAAAAUUACUCCAAAAUCUCACCCUCUCACUGAAAUUUCCGGUAGGUUUAAUUUUGGCAACUAAAUUUCCGGUAGUUAUUUGUAAUGCUGGAAAUUUGGUCAAAGAAAUUUCCGGUAGUUAUAUUUUCAAUACCGGAUUUUUGAAAAUUCCGGAAGCUACCGGAAAUUUCAAAUUUUUGAAAAAUCCGGUAGUUAUGUUUUCUUCACCGGAAAUUUCAUUUUUGAAAUUUCCGGUAGUUAAUCUGGAAAUUUCAAAAAUCCGGUAGUUAAUAAAUUUAAUUUUUAUUUAUUUUUUAAUUUUUUUUUUUGAAAUAGAGAUGGAAAACACACAACCAAUAUUUAUAUAUUUAACCGAAGCAUUUAGAACUGAUCAAAUUUUUGAGUCACGAGAAGUUGUCAUAUCAUGGGCAAGAGAGAUCGGCCGACAAAAUUGAGUAGCAGUUAUCGUUACUCGAUCAGACGUAGAGACUGGAAAGAGAUGAAGAAAUUCAAAAUUAAUUCUUGGUUGUGAUAGAGGUCGACAAUAUAAGUCAAAUAAAAAUAACACAGGUACUUCAACUAAAAGGUGUGGAUGUCCGUUUAAACUUAGAUCGAGACCAUUGAAAAAUGCUGAAGGAUGGAUUAUUAGUUUAAUCUGUGGACUUCACAACCAUGAGAUAAUAGCUAGUUUUGAGAAUAAUGCAUUUAUGAGACGCUUAACAGAAGAAGAUAAGAAACAUGUUGACGAGUUGACAAAAUAUCACGUUGCACCGAGACACAUCUUGUCAUCUUUGAGAGAUCGAGAUACAGAGAAUGUGACUAAUAUCUAUCAAAUUUACAAGCGACGAAGUACAUACAGGAAGAAUUUAAAAGGACCUAGAACUGAUAUGCAACAUUUGUUGAAGUUACUUGAAACUAAGAAAUAUACUUGUUGGAGUAGGACUCAUGAGGACUCCAACGUUGUGAGGGAUAUGUUUUGGACGCACCCAGAUUCCAUAACUUUGUUGAACAUGUUCCCUCUUGUAUUGAUCAUGGAUAACACCUACAAAACCAACAAGUAUAGGUUACCAUUGUUUGAAAUUGUUGGUGUAACUUCAAUUGGGUUGUUGCAUUUGCUUAUAUGGAUUCUAGACGUCAAGACAACUUUUGGUGGGCAUUGGAGAAGUUAAAAGAUUCGUUUGUUUCAAACACGUCAUUUCGUCAAGUGAUUGUGACUGACAGAGAACUUGCUUUAAUGAAUGCAAUUGAAUUUGUAUUUCCAUCUUCAACAAAUUUACUUUGUCAGCUUCAUAUUAACAAAAAUGUUGGAGCCAAAUGCAAAUAAUAUAUAUUAAAGAAAGACAUGCAAGAACCCAUUCUUGAGUUGUGGAGGAAAAUUGUUUAUUGUUCUGAAGAGAAGGAGUACGAUGAACUUUUGCAAAUGUUUGAGCAAGCAUGUGUCGAUAAUAUUAUUUUCUUUGACUACGUCAGAGACACAUGGUUGAAUCCGCAUAAGGAAAGAUUUGUUGAAGCAUGGACCAAUCGAAUAUUGCAUCUAGGAAAUACUACGACUAAUAGGUAUGUCAUUAAAACUUCACAUUUUGUAUUUUAUUUUAUGCACGAUAUAUGAUUAAAACUUCACAUUUUGUAUUUUUUUUGUUUAAAUAUUAGGGUUGAGUCUGCUAAUUGGUCAUUGGUUAAAUAUUAGAGAUUUUUGGAACACAGUAAAUGAGAUUUUUGUAAGGCAUGGAAUGGUAUGAAUGACAUGUUGAAGUUUCAAAUUAUUAAGAUCAAAGGUUCAUUUGAGAUAAGUAAAGGUCGCAAAGAGCAUAUACACAACAAUCCAUUCUUUGAGAAAUUGACUUGGGUGGUAUCCAAGAAAGCCUUAGGUGAUAUUUUUGAAGAAUACAAGAGAGUCAGUUAUGUCGGUAACGACAAAGAUGUGUGUUGUUGUAUACUUAGAAAGACUCAUGGAUUACCUUGUGCAUGUGAGUUGGCACGAUACAAGCUGGAAGGUGUUCCAAUCCCAUUAGAUGUUGUUCAUAUACAUUGGAGGAAAUUAAUCAUGAAUAGUGAUCAAGAGGAAGAACAAUUGACAAAUGAUUCAGAGUUGGACAUUACAUCGGAGAUGAAUAUAAUUUGGAAAACAUGGAAAACACUUAAUGUUGCUGGAAGAAGGGCAUUAAAGAGCAAGUUGCGUGAAAUAGCAUAUCCGGAGACAACAUCAAUGUGUGCACCAGUGGAUAAAAUCAAAACAAAAGGUGGUGUUAAGAAGAAAAAAAGCAAUAAGCCGAAGGGAUAUGACGCAUAUCGCGACCCAUCAUACUUUGAGCAUGUUGAUACUCAAGUCUCCCAGCAAGCAUCCAAACAAGUCUCCCAUCAGGUUAAAAAAUAUUUCCACGAGUUUCCUCCUUUAAUUCAUCCAUAUAUUGAAGACAUAGUUAAUGUUAAAGCAGAUGGAAACUGUGGAUAUCGUGCUAUUGGUGUUUUACUUGGUCAUGGUGAAGAAUAUUGGAGCAUUGUACAUCGACAGUUGUAUACAGAGAUUAAGUCCAAACCUGAUUUAUAUGAUGCAAUAUUCAAGGAACGUUUGCAAGAAGUGACAGAGUCUUUACUUGUAACUGAGUUGGAAAACCAAGUCAACGAGAAGUGGAUGACCAUUCCUGAUAUGGGUUAUGUGAUAGCAACAAAAUAUAAUCUCGUUCUUGUUACAUUAGCAAAAACUUUUUGUUUGACUUUUUUCCCAUUGAGGGGUGCACAUAAUGGAGAUUUGUCACAUGAUCGUGUUAUCAGCAUUGGUUUUGUUAACGAAAAUCAUUGGGUCCAAGUUAAAUUGAAAUCUGCAUGUCCGUUACCUCCACUUGCAUGGCAUUGGAAGAAGCAUUGUAGUAAUGAGUCUACAUCAUGGGCUAUCGCUUAUGCAGGACGUCUACAACAUUGAGGUUCUUUAGAUUUAGAAAAUAAUUCAGAUUAUAUGUCUUUGACAGAUGAUUGACACUUUUGAUUUGUAUGUUGCUUUAAAUGAUAGGAUUGACACUUUAAAUAUUGUUUUCAAUUUAGAUGAUUGCCACUUUUGUUCUAUGAUGCUUUAAAUGUUGUUUUCAAUUCAGAUGAUUUAAAUGUUGUUUUCAAUUUAGAUGAUUGCCAAUUUUGUUUUCAAUUAAGUGUUCUAUGAUGCUUUAAAUGAUAUGAUUGACACUUUAAAUGGUAUGUUUGAAAUAUUAAAUACAACUAAUACAACUAAAUAAGUCGCGAAUAAUAACUCUGAAUAAUAAAUAAAUCGCGAAUAAUAAAAUAAGUCUGAAUAAUAAAUAAGUUACGAAUAAUACAACAAAAUAAGUCACUAAUUAAAUAAGUCUGAAUAAUAAAUAAGUCACGAAUAGUAAAAUAAGUAUGAAUAAUACAACUAUAAUGCUACUGAUAAUCUCCUCCUCUAGAAAAUGUGUAAAGCUCUCUCUAAUAAGACACGCAUCUGAUCUUCAGGACCACCCAUAUGUAAGUCUAAACUCUGUUGUAUAAGACCACCAAUUGCGUGACACCGUGUACACCUAGUAUCAGGACCAACAUCAUGACUAUGACCAGCAUCAGGACCAGGACCAACAUCAACAUCAUAACUAGGACCAGCAUAUGCAGCAACAUAAGGGAUCAGCCGAGGAUAUGCAGCUGGGUGGAAUUUAGCUCGAAGUGAUCGUACAGAGUUCCGGUACAUACUCCAUUCAACGUCAACAUCACGUACAACAAGCAUCGGUGGUGUAGGAGGAAUGUGUUGAGUAUACCUAAACUGUCGUAUGCACCUCUCUGGUAAAUACGGAACCAUCAUGGAACACCAACGAAUGUAUCUUGUAAACAAUGACACAGAUUGAAAUCGUGUCAUAGAGUUCUCGUCGUAAUUCGGCGUCCGGAUAAUAUCAGUAUCCCUCAAAGCAUCCAACUUUGCAAUGUAAUAUGCAACGUUCCCAGAUGUUUGUUUUGCAGUCCAACGAAACAUCUGUGGCAUCGAGGAGAUAAGCUCAUCCAUGUCCCGUUUACAAAUAUCAGGAAAAUGUUCAUAAAUCCAAGUAUAUAAAUAAUUAAAAUAUAGUAAAAUUAUUAAGGUGAUCAAAUAAUUAAAAAUAAUAAUAAGUAUAAUAAAUAUAAUAGUACUUGAAAUAAAAAUAAAUAUCCUCCAAUCUGUUUGGUUGCAGGCAAUGUAUUAUCUCUAAGAUAGUCAUAUAACACAACAAGUGCAACUGGUCCCCAUGCCCAUUUACCACAAGUUUCAAGGUCUUGAAACAAAAAUAGAUAUUUUAUAGAUACAAGGGUAAAACUUUUAUCAACUAGAAUGGUACACCCUACCUAAUGAAGUAGGUAUGUCCUCGUUGCACAGUCGUAUCGUCCUUCAUGAAGUUUCUUGAAAAAUACCUCUUUCAACCACUCAAAACUAUACGAGGCACCUCUAUUGGUCCUAGUUUCAAUGACAGCUUCAUCAUAUGCAACUCCCAACAACUCAACAGCAGCAACAAUUGCCAAAUCUUCAUUGACAUUUGCAGGAGGUGUGAAAAACUCUCCAGAACAUGGGAUGCUCAAAAGACCCCUAACGUCGUCAAGAGUAAUAGUCAUUUCACCGAAUGGCAGGUGAAAUGAACUACAUCUUCUUAGAGGACGUAACCCAGAUAUAGUAAUCCAAUGAUCUAUUUGAGCAGGUAAUCGAUAUCUGAUAUCAAUGAAUUUGUCUUGUUUUUUGCCAUUUGAAACAACUUUCAAGGCACGUCUAUCCUGUUUAAUUAAAAAUAACACACAAUUACAAAUAUAUUAUAAUAUGUAAUAUAAUAAUCUAUACUACAAAUAUAUUAUAAUAUGUAAUAAAAAAAAUUAUUUACUAUCCUGUCCAUUCUACACAUUAAUUGCAAUAUGGUGCUCAUAAUCUUUAAGGAUAGAAAGAUCAUAAGGACCUCCAAGAAACAUGAGUUCUUCAGGCUGGUGCUACUGACCAUGUUCAUCAUCAAACUGUUGUUGUUGCUGAUCAUGUUCAUCAUCAAACACAUGAUCUUGCUGCGGCUGGUCAUCCCGUUCUUCAUCAAACACAUGAUUUUGCUGGGGCUGCUCAUCCUGGGGCGUCUGCCUUUCUUCAUUUCUCUUUCUUCUUUUUUCAACAGCAGCUCUCCUAUUCGAUUGUGUAGGAGGUCGAACUCGAGAAUGAUCAACGUCAGUUUUUGCUCCUUUGGUCCUCACUAACAAAAUUCAAAAAAGAAAUUAAAAAAAUUAUAUAAAACAAAAAAAAAUAAAAAAGUAUACACUGUAAUGGAAAUUUCAAAGAGGAAUGAAAUUUCCGGUGAACAUAUCGGAAAUUUCAUUUUUGAAAUUUCAUUUUUGAAAUUUCCGAUAUGCAUUUAUAACUACCAGAAAUUUCAUUCCUCUUGAAAUUUCCGGUAAAUUUUUUUUCCCUCAAUACUCACUUUUCUGGAUUUUUCAAUGUGGGGGUACAACUGUUUUGAUUUUUCGUUUUUUUUUUAAUUUUAUUUUUACUAAUUUUCUUAAGGUUAUUUUGGGUAUUUCAAUAAAAAAAUUUAAUUGGAGGGUACAAGUUUAAUUGGGGGGUAAGAAAGCCAACAGUCUCGAAAAAUAGCCAACUUUCCAAAUGUUGUGGUUAUCAUAAGUCAACCCAACAAAAUGAAAGGCAACCGUGUAAUGCAAGAAAAUAAAAAGCCUUCAGAACUCUCGAAACAGUAAGCAAAGCAAACACACAAUGCAAAAGUAGAAUUGUGAAAACGGGCUACCAGACUCAUAUAAGGUCGGCUCUAACGAGUUGUGAGUUUUUUCGAAUCGGAUAAAAAAUAUCUGUUUUAAUAUGGAUUGAUAAAAUACUAUUUAAAUUCGGUCGUAGACAGGUUGUGGACUCGGCAGGUAAUCCAUACAUUUUUUAUAAUAUUUUUUUUUUGACUCAUCAUAUUUUUAAUUUUUUUCGAUUAUUUUAAUUUGAAUUUUUUUUUAUGCCCAUUUAAAGAAAUUAUAGUAUACUACUUAUGCAUUAAGUAUGACUUAAUUUGAAUCCCCAUUUAAAAAAAAUGUGGUAUACUACUUAUGCAUUAAGUUUGAAUUUUCCAAUUAACACAAACUCAAUUCAAAUUUUUUAAAACAACAUAUUAUCCAAACAACAUACAAAUUAAAUCUUGAGUAAUAUUCACAUUUUUUAAAGUGUUUGAUGAUUAUCUACCUAAAAAAAUAAAAAAUAAAUUAAUUGUUAAAAAUAUAUAAUCAACUAAAUACAAAAGAUAAUAUAUAUAUAUAUAACCAUGUAAAUGAAUUACUUUUACUAUAUUUUUUUUAAUUAGUUAUGCAAGUUGCGGGUUUUCUGAUAUUCAUACGGGUUAAUCCAAAUAGAUAACGAAUUUAUUUGAAUUAAUCUAAAAAGCAUUCAGAAAAUGCAUGCUUAAUUUAUUAGACUCAAACCCUAAGUUUUAGAGGACUACCUCAUUGACGUUAAACUAUGGUGAUUUUCUCUAAGAUCGAAAUUGGAGAAACACAUACAUAGUGAUGAGUCAAACACAGUGUUCAGUAACCAAGAUCUGUUGAACAUGCUCUCCGACGAACCAAGGCGGGGUUGGCAGAGGCAUGUUAGCAGAUGUGUGGCAUGCUAAAGUCAAUACCGUGGAAAUCACACUAGGAUCCAUACCAGAAUAUCAAAGAUCUAAAAUUGCAAAAUGACUCGAUUGAAAAAGAGAUAGCAGGGGUGGAAACAACGAUGGCAGCACAUUGUUUAUCGAUUCUGGAAACCACAUGUUCAUAAUGCUUCAAUCAAUUUGAUACUUGAUUUUUCGGAUCUUCUAAGGCCACAGUGAAAAUGACAGACUAAAUAAGUAGGCCGAAAGGGUUCGACCCAAUUAGAUCCAUUAAUUUGCAAUACACAUUAAAUAUUAGUAUUAGGCACAAGUUAUUUUCAUUAUGUGAAGCAACACAUGUGAUCGGUAUAAUCAUCCACAGCCAUUAAACUCAUCCUAUUAUAAAUAUAUUAAUAAUAUAGGUUUAAAUACGGUCCCCCUAUUUUAUUCAAUAUGCAAUUUUGAUCAAUUUAUUUUUUAUCCAUAAUUUUAGUUUUUUUAUUUUUAAAAUUAUGAUAUUUUGUCCAACUCUUAUCUUGGCUCUUGAAUUUGAUGAUGUGGUAAUUAAUAAGGUUGAUGUGUAAUUCAUAUCGUAUUUAAUUUGCAAUUUUAUUAAUUAGUAAAUAGGUAAUACCAUUAUAAUACUUUUAUAGUUUUUAAAAUUAAAGCAAAACACUUAGAAACAUAAAGAAAAGAAAACUAAAAUAUGUUAAACCAAAUUUAUGAACUCUAAAAUAGAAACAUAAACAAAGUAGAAACACAAAAGCAAAAAAAGAAGAAAAAGAACCAAGUCACAAAAUUGAAUAACAAGAACGACAUUGAACGAGCCUUAAUUGUGAAGUCCAUUAGAAUCGUCUCUUUCUCGCGAUCAUUGUCAUCUCAUUCUCGUUCUAAUGUGUUCUUUGUAAUGGAUUCAAGGAAAAAAAGGACGGAGAUUGUGAAACUCAGUUGUGAUGGAACUCCAAGAUAUCCGUAUGAUUCAAUACUUUCUUCAUGGACAAAAGAGGAUGAAUAAUAUAUUUUCAAGUAUGUGAUUUUGGUAGUUUCUCAUGUGUGUUCGUAUUGUUGCUAUCAAAUACUGUUAGUUUUGAAUGAGUUUUAGGGUUUUCGUGAAUGGUUUAGUGUUUUAUAGGAUAACAUUUGUUUAUUCAUUGUAUUCUAAAGUUUGUUUUGAAUCAAGUUCUGAUUUAUGUGGUUAUUUUGUUUAAGGUUUAUUUGUGAUUUUGUUUAAUCAAGUUAUGACUUUUAUAGGCCAUCAACAGUUCAAAUUGUUAGAGUACGAAUGUACCAUGGCGACAUGUUUGUAAAUAAUCCUUGCAAAUUAUAUGUUCAAGGUCAAGUUGAUGAAAUGAAUUGGGAUUGGGAUAUAGACCACAUGUUGCAUAUGGAUAUAAGAAGAAUUUCGAUAUUUAUGGUAUAGGAACCCAAAAUUUUCACUUACUCGUAGAUUGAGGCCUUUUAACUCAUAUGAUAAUGUUAUCCAAUUUAUUGAAGAUGUGAAAGGUAAUGAACUUGUGGAAGUUUAUAUGGAGCACCUUAUUGAUACUCCAAUUAUAGUUGUGAAUGACAAAAAUAAGAAUAGACAAAGUGUCAAGGAGGAAAUAUUUAUUGAUGUUGAUGAAUACAAGCUUGAGGGUGAUGGUGGUUGUGAAUGUGAUAAUGAACUAGAAGUUGAAGUUGAAAGUGAAGAUGAACUUGAAGAAGCCAAACCUGAAAUUCAAGAUGAACAUGAAUUUGAAAAUGAAGUGGGUAGUGAAGAUAAUGACUAUGUUUGGAGUAGUGAAGAUAAUGUUAGGAAAGAUAAUAAGAGUUUUGAUAAAAUGGAAGAAGAUAUGAAUUGGAUUAUUGUACUUCUCUCUCAACCCGAUGUAGGAACUUCACUCAAUGUGUAUUCCAAAAAGAAAGAUGAUUUUGAUGAGAAUGAGGAUUCUGAUCAAAUAGAAACACCUUUAUGGAGUGAUGAAAAUGAGGACUCAAGGCCAAAGUUCCCAAACUUUAAGAUGUCAGUAGGUAAUGAUUUUGUUCGAUUUGAGUUGGGGAUGAAGUUUAACACAAAGUCCAGUAUGAAAGAGGUUAUAAAACAAUAUGAUGUGGAAGAAAAAUAUACUUUAAGAAAAAUGAUAAAAAGAGGAUGAUUGUAAAUUGCAUGAAGGAGUAUCAUUUUCAUAUGAGGUUUAGUAAGAUAACUGGAAGUCAAAAUGGGUAGGUUUCAAGUUUCAUUGAUGAACAUACAUGUCAUACGACACCUAGAAAUAGGUAAGCCAAAACUGAGUGGCUAGCAAAGACGUUCAUGCCCACCCUUAGAUAUACAAUUGACAUGAAAACAAAAGGUUUAAUUGCUGAGGGGCUUGAAAGAUGGAGUGUUAAAUUGACACAUGACCAAGCAUACAAGGCCAAAAGAAGAGCCAUUUAGUGAACAAUACUCACUUUUGAGAAGCUAUGCAAAGGAACUAUUGGAGUCAAAUCCAAAUAAUACAAUAACUAUCAAAUGUGCUACGAGUGAUAAUUUUCUUGUAUUUGAGAAAAUUUAUGUUUGCAUUUGCUAUGUAAAUUGGAAGAAGAAAAAGUAGAGAUGAAAGAAGUAUUGUGGUUGGCAGCUAGGGCAACAACAGUUCCAGCAUGGCAAAGAGCAAUGAACAUAAUGAAAAACAUGAAGGAGGCUGCUUGGAAAGAGAUGAUGAAACUUCCUCCUAGAACAUGGACUAGGUCUGCAUUUUCCACUAAUACACAAUGUGACCUACAAGUUAACAAUAUGUGUGAGGCAUUCAAUAAGGAAAUAUUGGAGCAUAUAGACCAACCAAUAAUAACAUUGCAUUCAGGGUUUAAGGCACUAUAUUUCAGAUAGGAUUAUCAGCUAUCGAGAACAUAUGUCCAAAUAUAAGGGCGACAUAUGUCCUAAGAUACAAUAGUUGCUGGAAAAGGAAAAUAGGGUUGCUGAAGGCAGGAGUCCAUGUUGGAUGGAUGACGAUCCUCAGGAAAUGUUUGAAGUGUCCAAUGAAUCUGAGACAUAUAAGGUCAACUUAGGCGCUAAGACAUGUGCACGUAGGAAGUGGGACUUAACAGGUAUACCAUGUUGCCAUAACAUUGCUUGCAUGUGGCAUAACCAUGUUGCCCCAGAGGAUUUAGUUUCAUCAUAUUGCAGGUAAUAUGAUGGUUCGAUAGUUUUAUUUUAUCUGUUAAUUAAAUAUGAUAAACCACAUUCUGGAUAUAGUUUUAAAGAUUCAGGAAAAAAAAUUUAUGUCUACAUAUGGAUACACAAUGAAACCAAUAAUGGUCAUACUAUGUGGCCUAUAUCAAAGAGUGAACCAAUAAAUCCCCCUGUAAUGAGGAGAGCACAAAGCAGACCCAAGAAACAGAGAAAUAAGAGUAAUGAUGAACCCAAAAGGUCAAACAUACUACCAAAACCACUUCCAACUAUGAAAUGCAAAAAGUGUAGCAAGCUUGGGACAACAAAAGGACAUGCAAAGAUAAAAUUGCUGUUGAUCGUGAAAUUUCAAACAAUGGAAAUGAGGUAAAACCGCUACUGCUCAAUAAUUGAUGGUGAUAUUCUUAUCUAAUAUUAGUUGAUGCACUACUAAACCGCUAGUUGUUUAGUAAUUGAUGUUGUAUUUAUGUAGAGGACAAAGAUAAAAAGGACAGAAAAAGGUCAAGGUGCACAAGUAGGUCUACAACAAGGAUCACAAUCAUCACAAGUUGUAUUAACUCAUAGAUCACAAGCACGAAGCCAACAUAUUUAGGAUCAAAUGGCCUUAUAUAUGGCUUUAAUGAUGUAAUUUUUUGUUUAAGCAUAAUAUGUAAUGCACAGUGCCACUGACUUAUAAUGUGUAAUUGCACUAUUAUUUUGUUUGGUUCUCUAAUUUUAAAAUGGUCCUAUUAUUUUGUAUGACGACUAAAUUGACACUCUUAUACUGUAUGACUUGGUUUGUAUACAUUAUUAGUUUAAUUGUUGGUUUAAUACCAAACUUGUUUAAUUUGUGUUUAUUCUAGUUUUAUUUAUUUAUUUUUUGUUUUAACUUGGUUGUGGUAUUGGUACUGGUUUAAUUGAGACUAAUUUCUAUAGGAACUGGUUUGGAACUAGUUUAAUUGAGUCUGGUUUGGGACUAAUUAUAUUGGGAUUGGUUUGGAACUGAUUUAAUUGGGACUAGUUUAUAUUGAGACUAGUUUGGGACUGGUUUAAGACUGAUUUAAUUGAGACUGGUUUGAGAUUGAUUUAAUUGGGAUUGGUUUACAUUGAGACUGAUUAGUGUCUGUUAUUUGGAAAUGGUAUAGAAGAGUAUCUUUGACAACAAUUAACACAAAAUAACAAGCAAAAGGAAAUGACAACAUGCACCCAAUUUGACACACUAUUUGGAAGCACACACACAACUUGACAAGUCAACAGACUAAUUUGACACAUUAUUUUUUCUGUAUUAUUGGAACUUGUUUCAUUAUAGCAAUUAGUACAAUUAGAACAUCUAACACAAUUAUAACAUUUCAUUAAAAAGACAAUCAUUUGAUUAUAUGAACAUAGGCAUUACAUCUUCACACAAUUACAACAUCUUGACAAAAAUAACAAACUAUACAUGAACCUAAACAACAACCUAAACAAACACCAUAUUUCAAAACAUGUGUUGCAGCUAAUGAAAACACAAGUAUUACAACAAACACCUAAGAAAAACAGAGAAAACACAUAAUUUUAAUUUUCUGCUUUAUAAUUUUAAUCUUCUUCUUCAACCCAUCUUCAUAUAUCAUUGAGUCAUUCAUAAACUUCAUCAACUCUUCAUUUUUUUCCUUUAAAGAUAUUAUAACCUCCUUAGCACGAUUGAUCAUAUCUUCAUCAAGUCAAUAAAAAAGUUGCACACUUUUGUCCCUUUUAUCUACAACAAACAAAGCAGAAAAUGGAUUAGUGAAAAUUCCAUUAACACCCAAAAAUUAAUGAAAUCCAUAAAUUCUAUUCCAAUAACAAUCCCAGAAUUUAGGGAUUAAAUGUUUAAAUUCCAUUCGAAGAACAAUCUCUAAAUCCCAGAAACCCUAAAACAAUCCCUAAACCCAUAAUUGAAAAUUCCCAAACUCAAAACCCAUAACUUAAAAGAUAUUGAUUUUUUGUAACUAUAGUAAUUAAAUUUAUGUCAUGAAUAUUUUUAUAUUUUUAAUAUAAAUUGGGUAAAUAGUCAUACGGUUCAACUAGUGACCCACUAAUUCGACCAUCAAUCUAUUGACAAUUUUAACUGGGUCAAUCACCGAUUUGAGUUUUAAAAUUAUGUCCAUAGUUAUAAAACUCCCUAAAAUAGUUAACCCAUAAAACAUUUUGACUAACGUUACAAGUAAUUUGAUAUUUUGUAAAUUUUGAAUGCUAAAUUAUACGACACUUAAAAUUUCAUGACCAUAAAUGAUAAUUUGAUCAUUAUAGCAUUAAGAUAUAUCAUGUGCUUCAUAAAAUUAGUAUUUUAUAAAUAAAAUAUGAUAAUUUUUGUUCUAUUAAAUUAAACAUUCUGAUUAAUAAUGAUAUAUUUAGUCAGAAUAUUAAGGAGAAAAUAUGAGAAGAUAUGGUGUCUAAGGCAAAUCAUAGGGCUCUAUAGUUUCGUCAAGAAGGCUUUUUGAAAAGCUGAUUGGGUCAAGUCCUUCGAUUUGUAAAAAUAAAUGCGCGCAAUGUCCAACAACUUGCCAUGUUAAAAAAAUAGAAUAACCAAAAUUAUAAAUUUAGUUAAAUAGGAGACCAAAAUAUUUAUAUACUAAAUAUUGUCAAUUGUAGGUAUAGAGGAAUAUUCUAGAUAUAGAUAAAUUUUUAUGAAUUUAAAUGAUGUAAAAUAAAUAAUUAAUGAAAUGGGUAAAUCAAUGAUUAAUACUGUAAUUAUUUAAAAUUAUAUAAUUGCAUAAUUAAAUCUAAAUUUACAAGAGUAUUAAAAUAAAAAAAACUAUUUUUUAUAUUUAAAAAAAUUAUUUCUAAUAUGUUUUCGGUUUAAAUUUAUAAAAGAAUUAGAGUAUUUUUUUUUUUGUUUUAUUAUAAUAAAAGAAUACUAGAGGGAGUAUUACUAGUUAUCCCACUCCACAUGUUUUUUUACGAGCAAAAUCAUCAUCAUCAUCAUUAUGUUAGUAUGCAUAUACAUAAAUAAAUAAACAAAUGUGAGUUUUCACUUAUUAUGUUUGUUACCGUUGACACUGGCCCGUUCUAACAAGGUAUAGUGGGGCCAGGACCCAUAUAAUUUCGAAAAUCAAGGCAAUGACUCCGGUGUCAACAUCAGAGUGAACAACACGAGUUGACUAGACAAGACCGUUUGUUUUUUUGUAUAUCUAGUUGUUGUAACUUCCACUUUCAACAAAUCUCACACUACACAACACAACAACCUUUUCUUUUCACUGGUUUUUUCUUCUCAUUCAAUGGAAAUGCCUAAUGCGAUUAUGAACCGGGCCGAACCGGGUUCGAAGGAGAGCCGUUUAAGAGCGGAGAUCGAUACUUCAGUGCCGUUUGAGUCUGUGAAAGAAGCUGUUACUCGAUUCGGAGGUGUUGGUUACUGGAAACCUAUUCUCCAUCAUAAUAAUAAUAAUGACAAUAUUAACCUCAUCACUCCUCAGGUAAUUUAUCUUUUUGUUAAUUUUAUUUAAUUUAAUACUGUUUUGUUGCACUGCACUUCAGUCCAAAGUUUUCAUUUUUUUUUAACUAUAAUUUAUUUGCCGUUGUUUUUAAUUAGUUUUGUAAUGUUCGUUCGGCUCUUUGGUUAUGAUUUAGGGGUCACUCUGUAACUUUGUAUUUUUCUGAGAACUAGGAGACUUGGAUCUGGAGAAGCUAUAAAUAUAAAAAAAGUAAAAGUAAAUGAGUUAUAACUAAGAGGAACAAAUCGAAUUAACAAUUUGCAAUUUAUAUGGAUCUUUUAGAAUAUUGAUAAGAUGGCAAACUAGGUUGAUAAUGUUCAUAAUUUACUCAAAAGAAAAUAAAAAUUGUGAAUGCUAUCUAAGUGUGCGAAUUAAUUGAAGGUGUAUCUUCAAAAUUAUUUAAUUUGUGUGAAAUAAUCAAAAUUUCAAUGUUUUCUUUUAGCAGCAAAACACAGAAGAGCUUGAUGCUGGAAAAUUGGAGGAGCAAGCAAUGGUAUUGGAGAAAGAACUCAUCCUGAAAGAAAGGGAAACUCUUGAUGUUUUAAAAGAGUUGGAAUGUACCAAAAGGCUUGUGGAAAAUUUGAAAUCAAAGCUACAAGCAGAAGAAUCUGAAUCAAAUUUGAACAUUAAGAUGAGUUUAUGUGAUGAUAAGGAGCAUGAGAAAGAAGAAGAAAAGGAAAACCAAGUGAAUCAUGUUCCUUAUAAUUCAACAACUCCAGGUUUAAUAUUAAGGGAAUUGAAGCAAGCGAAAUUGAAUCUCAACCGAACCACAAACGAUAUUGCUGAUGUUCGAGCUUCUGUCGAAUCACUCAAUAAGAAAUUAGAGAAGGAAAGAAUGUCACUCGAGAAAACCCGUGAGAGGUUAACUCAAAACUCUUCAAAAAUAACUUCUUUAGAGGAAGAGCUGAACCAUACAAGACUUAAACUGCAAGUGGUGAAAGAUGCUGAAAACAAAAGCGAAUUGGAUGACCCUUCUGAUAUUACGAUAGAGCUUCAAAGAUUGAGUUCCGAGGCAGAACAUUUCAAGAAAAUGGGAGAAGUUGCAAAAUCAGAAGUGUUGAGAGCAAUGUCUGAUAUUGAACAGACAAAAGUUAUGAUAAGAACAUCUGAAAUAAGGUUGGUUGCUGCUAGAAAAAUGAAGGAAGCUGCCAGAGCAGCCGAAGCUGCCGCACUUUCGGAGAUAAAAGCUUUAUCUUAUCAUGAAAAUUCACUUGGAGAUUGUGUGGAAAAGCAUGAUGGAGGAGUCACUCUUUCUUUUGAAGAGUAUACUGCUCUAACCUGCAAAGCUCGAGACGCCGAGGAACAAUCUAAGAAGAGAGUUUUUGAUGCUAUGCUUCAAGUUGAUGAAGCAAAUUUAUCAAAAAAGGAUGUUUUGAAAAGGGUGGAGGAAGCCACAGAAGAAGUUAAAACAAGCAAGAAGGCGCUUGAAGAAGCUUUCGAAAGGGUAGAGGCUGCAAAUAGAGGGAAGCUAGAAGUUGAAGAGGCUUUAAGGAUUUGGCGGUCCGAGAGUCAUAAAAGGCGAUCAUCGAUAUAUAAUAACUAUACAAAGUUUAAAAACCCUUGUCCCCAUCGGAGAGACACUCAGUUAUUCAAUGAAAAUGGGAUGAAUGUUGUUGAUGAUGAAGAUAAACCGGUUCUAAAGCCAACUUUAUCUAUAGGACAAAUAUUGAGGAGGAAACUGAUGGCGUGGGAAGAUUUUGAAGAUGGGAUGAUUAGAGAAAGAAGCUCAAUGAAACGGAAAGUGUCGUUGGGUCAGAUGCUUGGUAAACACAACUAUGAUCCAUGCUUUGAAUUUGAUAGGCAAGUUGAGAAAGAAAAUGGUCAGAAACAGUUUUCUGCUAAGAGAAAGAAAUUUGGAUUUGCUAGAUUCUCCCUUCUUUUGACAAAACAACCAAAGAAGAAGCCAACUCUUAACUUGAGGUGAUGAUGGGGUUACUUGAUCUUCUAUCUGCUCACAUAUUUUUCUGAUAUUGUGAUUGAAUUUGCAUGGCAAUAUAUUCUUGUGCUGUAUUUAGGUUAUUGGGAUUUGUAUUGUAGUCAUUGCUUGUAUUCUAAUUAAUUAAUUCAUUAAUGUGUGUUUAUCACUUGCUAUACUAAUUUGUAGAGGUGUGGUUUAUAUCAAUUUAAUUUUGGUAAGCUUGUGUUUUUACUGUGUAUGUUUUAUUCUUUAUUCUUUCAAUAUCAGUUUAACUCUUGUUACGCUUGGAUACAUGGCAAGAGGUGUCAAAAUUGAUUGUGUUAAAUGUGAUUUUAAUACAAAAUUAUGUGUUUGUGUUAAAAAGUGAUUAAAUUAGGCAUUCUAAGGUGAACUAACUUGAUAGGUUGUCUACUAUUGACUAGUGUUUUAAAAUUGUUGGUAACUCUAAUGAUAUCAAUUGUCUUCGAAAGUAGAAAGUUCUUACCUUUUCGUCUUCACGGUUGUACAACAAUUUGAUCAAUGUUGGUUCAACAUAAAAUAAUGAAAAAUAAAUAUGAAUACCUCUAACACAAUAGAUGUAUGGUAAAAUAAUAUAAAACAUUUGACACCAUGGUUAACACAAUAACUAUUGUCAUUUUAUGAAUAAGCUAUCAUAUGUAGAGUUUUAUAAACUUAUCAAUUUGAUACGCUUUCCACGUACGUUUUCAUUAAACGAAUUCCUUCUUGUGCUUUGCACGAGUAUAAAUAUCAGUAAGAAUAAUAUUUGUAUUGCGUUCAUAAUUCAUAGGAAGUUUUGCACCAAUUUUAGUGUAAAAGAAAUAUAUUUUAAUACAAGUUUCUUUUGAUCAUGAGUGAAAAAAGUUGGAUCUAGUACAAUUUAACUAGUGUGUAGUAUCCCAUUUUAAAUAAUAUAAUAUUAUAAAAUUAAACAAAAUUCAAGUAGACAUAUUGUAAAAUAUAGAAUUAAUAGAUAAGAGAGAACACAAAAGAGAGAAGAAGAGAGUAACCUAGUUUACUCUUUAAAGUGCUUUUACAUUGCUACAUUAGUAAUUACAAUGAACAAUAGUAUAAUAUCCAAGUAAAUGAGUGACUUAUAAAAUCCAUUUACUAUAUAAAAUCCAUUUUAUUAUUAUUAUUAUUAUUAUUAUUAUUAUUAUUAUUAUUAUUAUUAUUAUUAUUAUUGUUAUUGUUAUUGUUAUUGUUAUUGUUAUUGUUAUUGUUAUUGUUAUUACUUACUCAUUAAAACCUUACCAAAAAAAUCUCUUGAGACAAAACCUUUGCGAAGCAAAAAAGAGUGCAUACUAAUUUUCGCCACCUCUCAUGAAGACAAUCAUCUCUAAGCAAAAAAGGUUUACUUGGUUAUCACCUGAACGAAUUUGUUAAAUGGUUAUAUCGCUACUAUUUUAAAGAUCAUGAGUGAAAAAUAACUUUGAUGAAACAUGUUUUUUUUACUAUCUUAUUUAACGUACCAUUCUUUCAAUUAGUGAUGCAUGCAUCUUCAUAAAGGAUUUUUGAAUUCAUUCUUCUGAAAGAAAAAUUAAAAGUCUUUUGUAUCUAUUGAUUCAUAGACCUCAACCGAACGUAUUCUACACUUACCUCAUGUAGUACUAAAAUUUAUUUAUGAUUCGAUGAUGUUGUUGCUAUCACUACAAGAAGAAGUUGAAUUAGCUAGGGCUUUUUAGUCCUAGGAGAUUUGCUAGGAAUUUUAAGCCCUCACUAAUUAAAUGUGAUUCAUUUUUUAGGGUCACAGUCCAAGCAAAAUGGUCAAGUUAUUUUGCUAGGCUAGAGCCCUAGAAAAAUAUGAGAAUUUUGAGUUUGCGAGGGCCAUAGCCCUAUGUAUUGCCACAUUAAAAAAUUUCUAGGGUUGAAGCCCUCGGUAUAUUAAAGGCGCAAAUUUUUUAUUUUCAAAAUUUCACAUUACCUAGGACUAAAUUCCUCAUUAGUCGUUGACUGACACACACUACCGCUUCCUAAGGCCUAAAGUCCUCACUGAUUAGAUAAUUUAAAUAGUCCGAGGGCUAAAGUCCUCGCCUCCCAUGUACUGAGAUUUGCGUCGACUCCUCCUUUUCCCCUCUCUUCUCUUCUUUUCUACCUUUCUUCCUCCACUCUAGCAUUUUUCUUGCUUUUCUUCUUCAUCUUUUGUUCCCCACUACAAUUUUCGGGCACGAUAUUCAAGUUCUACUUUCUUCUUCAUUUUCGAGUUUUUAUUGGCAUAUCAUUUAUUUUGUUGUUUUUAUGUUAUUAUAUAUUUAUGUGUUUUUUUUAAUGUAAUUUGUGAGUAAAUAUUAGAAAUAUUUGGGCGAAGAGGAGAAACUGAUAAGUUAGACCCAACUCUUAAUUAUAAAUUCGUAUUAAAAAAUCUAUAUUGUGUUUAUUAUGAUUUUUGUGAACUUAUAAUAUAUUUUGAAUUUUUGGUGGAAUUUUUUUGAAAUUUAAAAUAUGUUACUAUAUAUAUUUUGAAAAAAAAUGUUAAUUUUUAUAAUUGGAAAUAUUUUAAUUUUUAUUUAAUAUAUGUGCAUUUGUUGUAUAUAUGUUAUUUAAUAUGAAUUUUUAUUUGUAUUUUAGGAAUGAAUGUAUUAAUUUAUAAUAAUACUAAUAUAUUAUAAUUUUAGGUCAUUAAUUAAUUAUAACAAUUUUUAAUAAUGUUAUACUUAGUAUAGAUUUUUAGUUUAACGGGAGAACUCGAUAAUUAGGCAAAAAAAAAAAUUUAAAAAUUACAAUCCAUUAUCGUGUGUGAACAUUUAUUUUUCUGUUUAAAGUUUAAUACAUAUUAUUGAGAAAUUAAACUCUCUUUCUGAGUCGUGCUUGUUAAUAUAUAUUAAAUUUGAAGUUAUCCAAGUUGAACAGUUUGAGAAUAACAAAUUAAUAUCAAAAUAUUGAUUAUUUAUUAAAUUCUUAUUAUGAUAUAUUUUUGUUAAAAUUUUGGUUACAUCCUAUUUCGUUUGUUCUAUGAGUGCAUACUUGAUUGUGAUAUAUAUUGAAAUGUUGUCAAAAUUUUGUAUUUAGAGUAAAGUGAAAUGCUGCUGAAAUUUUGUUAAAAAUAUACAUAUAUAUAUAUAUAUAUAUAUAUAUAUAUAUAUAUAUAAUAAGAAAAUAAUAAAUAUUUAUUAUUCAAUUAUUGAUUUUUUUUUUAAUUCUUGAAUGGAAUAGAAGCUUACCAAAAAUGUGUAGGUGAAAGAGGGUCUGUUNNNNNNNNNNNNNNNNNNNNNNNNNNNNNNNNNNNNNNNNNNNNNNNNNNNNNNNNNNNNNNNNNNNNNNNNNNNNNNNNNNNNNNNNNNNNNNNNNNNNNNNNNNNNNNNNNNNNNNNNNNNNNNNNNNNNNNNNNNNNNNNNNNNNNNNNNNNNNNNNNNNNNNNNNNNNNNNNNNNNNNNNNNNNAAGAGUGUCUGUUUGAUGGUCAUAUCGAAUCUAUAUUUAUGUAUUACUAGAAAAAUAAUCGCAGUUGGAUUUACGAUAGAAAUUAUCCCGAAAGAAGGGAUUUCAAGCGGGGGAAGAAUUUUUAGAAGUCGCAAGACAUCAAACUAUUGUUGAGGAGGAAUGUGGUAUUUGAUGUCCGUGUAAGAAAUGUUAUUGUACAAGUAUUAAAAAUAUAAUAAGGAAUUAUUUGUAUAAUAAGGAAUUAUUUGUAUAAUAAUGAAUUUAUGCCUAAUUAUUCAAUUUGGACUAAUCAUGAUGAAAUGGCUCCCCGAACUGUCAAUGUUCAAAAUAAUCCAAUAGUUGCUUCAAUUAGUAGUAUUGGUCCAUCAUGUGCUUCAUCUAGUAAUAUUGUUCCAUUAGUUGAGAGUCAUCAAGAGUACAUUGAUCAGUGACAAAAUAUGAUUUUUGACGCUCUACGAAUAAAUUUAUCAUUUGUUGAUCAACAAGGGGGAAUAAAUUUUAGAAGUCGCAAGACGCCGAACUAUUGUUGAGGAGGAAAGUGGUAUUUGAUGUCUGUGUAAGAAAUGUUAUUGUACUAGUUUUGAAAAUGUAAUAAGGAAUCACUUGUAUAAUAAUGAAUUUAUGCCUAAUUAUUCAAUUUGGACUAACCAUGAUGAAAUGGCUCACCGAACUGUCAAUGUUCAAAAUAAUCCAAUAGUUGCUUCAACAAUAUGAUGUCGGCGCAUAUGAACUCCGAAAUGAAGAUGUCUAAAGAUUUUAUAGCCUUUUGACAAAGACAAAUAAACCUUUAUUUGAUGGGUUUCCUAACUCCAACUUAUCCAUGUAUAUUAGAUUUUUAGGGCUAAAGUCUCAAUUUCAUGUUCCUGAUAUGUGCUUAGCUUUUAUGACCAAGCUGAUGUUGGAUACAACUCCAAUUCAAAAUGAUACUUUGCCAACAAGCUAUUAUGAUGUUAAAAAGUUAGUGUCAAAUUUGAGAUUUGUUGUUAAGAGAAUACAUUUUUGUGUUAAUGGAUGUAUGUUGUUUCACAGCAACGAAUUUGGAGCAAAAUAUGUUGAGCUAUUUGAAUGUAAAUUUUGUCAAAAAAAAAAAGACAAGUAGGGAGAAAUUGAUUCCAAGGAAAACAAUGUUUUAUUUGCCUAUUGUAUCAAGAUAGCAGAGAAUGUUCGCAUUAAUGUAAACUACUGGCAAAAUGACACGACAUUAUCAAAAUAAAAGAAGAUCAAAUGAUCAAAUGCGAUAUCCGUCAGAUUGUCUAGCAUGGAAGCCCUUUGACUCUGGAAUUUGUAUAAGUUUUGAAGAUGUAACUCUGAUAAAAUAUGGGGGAUUUGAGAUCAGAUCCUCAUAUUGGAAACUACUAGACAAAAUUCCCAUUUGGUUACCUACCAAAUGCACAUAAUGGAAAUAUUUGGCUAAAUAUGUUUAAUUGACAGAAAUAGUUUGCACAAACUUGAAAUCUGCAAAUGGUAAUAAUUUUCAAAUCUGUAGUAAUGAUCAGAAAUGGAACAACACAUGAUCAUACCACUUCAAAGCAUCAAUUUAGAAAAUAACUAAAUUGAAACAAUACAACAUUUCAAUUUAAUGUUGAAGCAAGACAAACGUUCACAUUUGCAAAAUAAUUCUUUUUGUUUCAGCAAGCAAUUAGAACAGAAAUGCAAUUGAAAAAUCGUAAAAUAAUUUUCAUCAAACUACUUUGUAAAAAUCGAGAAAAUCUGGAACAACAAAGUUUGGACAAAAUUGACAAACUUCAAAUCAAAGUCUGGACUUGGAAUUAUGAAGAACAUUGACACAUUGAUCAACAUCAAAUACUUAGAAUAAAUCCAAACAUAUUACUAUUUGAAUAUUAAGCAUUUGUACAAACACAUAUUGAUAAGUGCUAAAAUGUUAGACACAUACAUAUCCUCUCAUUGAGAGUUAAACACUUACAAAAACAACCAGAAAGUUAGGUAGACUUAACUGGGUGAGGUUAAGUGGUUUGUUGUAAUUCAGGUUGAAUUAUUGGAAGAAAUCCUUCAAGUGAAGGUAUUGGACGUAGCCAACCAAGUUGGUGGUGAACCAGUAUAAAAUUCCUUGUGUGAUUUUCUUCUUUCCUUUGCUUUUAUUUUCCAAAUUACUUUGAUCACCAAGUCAUAAUUAAAUUUCAAAAACAUUUUUAACAAACUAUAACACAAUUUAAACCCCUAUUUCUUGUGUUAUUGAAACUUCAUAAAGAUUUUUAUUAAAGGACGUGCAGUCCUUACUUGGAUAAUAACAAGAAACAACACACUUAAAUAAGCACAAUCCAGUUGUCUCGACACUCUUGUUCUAAAUUUUUGCUUUACACAGUGCUAAAAAUAACUCUAAGAGUACAACUUUAUAAACAUUCUCUUGUGAGAGUUUGUUUUCAGAAAACUUAAACUUAUUCUUUUGCAACCUAGUCGAGUAAUGGUUGCCUCCCUCAACAGCUUGAGUGCACUAAGCUAGAAGAUGGAGGGGACUCGAACAUAGUAUAUUUGACUAGUAGUUGUUUAGUGGGAGUGUGAUUCAGGUGGUAAAUUAGUGGAUUAAAUCUUUCAGGUUGAAAAGAUUGGACGCAAUUUUGUGUUGGUGGUGAACUAAGAUAAAUUGUCUGUGUUAUUCUAUUUAUCUACUUUGUUUUCAUUAAUUUGGUUUAGUCUUUUAUAAACGGUUUAAAAAAAAUUCAAACUUUUUUCUUGUGUUUCUCGUUCUACAUGUUUUUCAUCAUCAUGUUAAAACCAAGUUGCUUUGAAGAACUAUGAUCCUUACUUGUUUUGAUGAUAACGAAAUUAUUUUGUCGUAACAAUUUAAAGCACGAAUACUCUAUUUACGCGUGUAGUACUUAGAUCAAGUUUACAUUGAAUGACUUUACGCUGCAUCCUUUGAUCUAGGAACCAAGUUUAAAGAACACCAAAACUCCACUUUGAAAUUCGUAUUUUGAUUAUGUUGUAAAUGAUGUAAAGAAUAUUAGAUGGAAGGUCGAUGAGAGGAAAUGUUAUGUUCAACUUUGUCAUCCAACUGAUUCUUUGCAAUGGAAGAAACUUGAUGAUUUGUACAUGUAGUUCGGCAAUGAGCCAAGAAACCUUAGGAUUGAACUUGAUACAAAUUAAAUGAAAUCAUAUGGCAAUGUAAGUCGAAACCAUAGUUCAUGGGCCGUUCUACUAGUUUUCUACAAUCUACCUCAUUGGAUUUGCAUGAAGCAUAAAUACAUUAUAUUAUCUAUGAUGAUUUCAAGUCUGAGACAACCUAGAAAUGACAUAUAUGUAUAUCUAAGUCCCUUGAUUGAAUAUUUGAGAAUGCUUUGGGAAGGUGUCGAUGUGUUUGGUGGAUAUUCUCGUUACUAUUUUAAGAUGCGUGCAGUACUAUUUGGCACCACCAAUGACUUUCCUGCCUAUGAAAAUGUAUGUGGCUAUAGUGUUAAUGGACAUAAAGCAUGUCUUAUUUGUGAAGAAGGCACAUGCUACAAGCAAUUGAAACAUGGAAGAAAAAUAAUUUACGUUCGGCAUCAAAAAUUUCUCAAGUCUAAUCAUCCAUAUCGUAGGUUGAGAAAAGCGUUUAAUUGACACUAGGGAUGAGAAUAGGCUAGGCCGUCUGUCAGGGGCCUAUGGCCUGACCUACUUAUGGUCUGGCCUGGCUUGACCUAUUUAAUAAAAAGGCUAGGCUCAGACUGUUUUUAAAGCAUAUUUAUUUAAAUAGGUCAGGCUUAUAAAAAAGCCUAUUAGGCCUGACAGGCCGACCUAUAUAUAAUUUAUUAUUUAUUUUUAUUAUUAUAUUAAUAAUAUUAUUUUCUAUUUUCAAUUCUAACAAUUAGGGAAUCACUCAGUGAGCAUUCCAUAUUCAGUAGUUGUUCCAUAUUCGGUAGCGAUUUCAUAUUUGGUAGUCAUUCCAUAUUCGAUAGCUGUUCAAUUAGUCAAUCACUCAGUAGUCAUUCCAUAUUUGUUUAAGAGGUAAUAAUGAGUGUGUUUGUUUCAGAAGAAAAAAAAUCUAUUAUUUGACACAAAAAAUUAUUUUUUAGGGUUUAAAGGAUGUUUGUUUCAUAUUUUUUAAAAAUUACUUUAAAUAGGUUUCCAGGCUAGGCCAGACUUUUAAAAAGGCCAGGCCAAGCCGAAAAAAAAGCCUAUGAUAGACCGUAGGCCAGGCUUAGGCCUAAGAAAUAAUUCGUAGGCCAGGCUCAGGCCUUUCAAAGCCUGGCCUCGCCUGACCUAUUCCCACCCCUAAUUGACACCAAGAGCAUGAAAUUUCUCUUAAGCCUUAUCUGUGGAGCAAGUUUAUCAACGAGGUCAGGAUAUCAAUGUUAUCUUUGAAAAGAACUAAAAAUAGACAUUUGAGAAAAAUAUAUGGAAGACAUUGUCUCGAUGUAACACGUGUAGAGAAAAAUGUGUGUGAUAGUGUAAUUGGAACACUUCUCAACAUUCAGGAGAAAACAAAGUAUGUUUUAAAUGCUCUUAUAGAUAUGGUUGAUAUUGGUAGAACCAAGUUGGUUUGAAGAACUACGACCCUUACUUGUUUUGAUGAUAACAAAAUUAUUUUGUGGGAACAAUUUAAAGCAUUAAUAUUAUGUUUAAGUGUGUAGUUUUGAACGCGCUCUAAAACACCCCUCUGGUAAUUCGGUUAAUGCAAGUAAUGCUUGGAUUAGUCUUGGCUCUAAUUAGUGUGACAAACAAGUGAUAUUCUGCCACUAAUAAACAAGUCAAGCAUUUGAUUGUUUGACCUUAAUGGAAAGUCAACCCUAUAAAGAAGACAAAUUUGUGCAUUCUUUGCUCAACACCCCAAUCCGUUAUUUUUCUGAAGGUCUAUGUGGCAUAUUCUAAUCAUGAUAUCCAUUACGCAUAAUAACUACAAGGAUAUAUUUUGAUGAGCUUUAAUGGUGAAUCAAUCUUUGAAGAUUUGAUACAAAACUUCAUGAUACAUGUUGAUUUCUUGCAAUUAGGACAACGACCAGAAACCUUAAAGUUUUCUAUAAAAGGACGUGCAACCCUCAUUGAAAAAAACACACAACAGCGUACUACAGUAACUAAUAUAACCUUCUCUGCACUCUUGCUCUUAACAUUUGGUUUUGUCUAAGUGCUGAGAAAUAUUUUCUGAGAGUACAACAUUGCAAACACCCUGUUGUGAGAGUUAUUCAAAAAAUCCCUUAAACCUAUUCUAUAUGUAAUUUAGCCCAAUAGUGGUUCAUCCCUCACUAGCUUGAAUGUACUAAGCUAGAAGGUUGACAAAACUUGAACACAAUUAGAUUGACUGUUGGUGAAUUAGUGGAUUAAAUCCUUCAGUUUGAAGAGAAUGGACGUAGUUAUUGUGCUGAUGGUGAACUAAGAUAAAUUGGCUAUGUUAUUAUGUGUUUUUGUUUUAUCUACUCUAUUUUCAUUACUUUGUUUUUAUCUUGUUAAAACGGUUUUAAAAAUAAAACACAAAUCAAUUCGCCCACCCAUUUCUUGUGUUUCUCAUUCUAUAAAGAUGGGUAUAAGAAAACAAUUAGCUACACAAUCAGCAUGUAAACGAAUGGGGAAUAAAAGUGUCGCAUGGCUAAUCCUCAAAUGUCAAGAUUCUGGUCUCAAUGAAAGAUUUAAAAUGAGUUGCCUUAAAGUCUCACAAUUGCCACAUAUUGAUGCAACAUCUACUACCAACACUACGACACUACUAGAAAAAUCAGAAAUGCUGACUGUAAGAAUUUAGGGUAUUUUGUGUUGAAUUUCUUAGGCUUUUAGCCUAGUUUUUGGUAUUUCGUGAGUUAAAUGCCAAAAAUAUAUUUUUGGAAAUCCGAUUAAAAUUAUUUGUCGAAGAAUAAUUUAAUUAUGUUACAAAGAAUUUAAUAUCGAGCAGAUUUUUUAAAAAUGUCACUUGCUGCUGAAAAAUUUAUCUGUCAAUUGAGUUGCAACGAGAGUAGAUAUUUUUAUUAAAUUAGAUUGAGAUGUGAGUGAAGUGAUGUGUGUAAGAGUUGUUAGAUAUUUGUUGUUUUGAGUUUAAGUGUGUAUAUAUAUAUAUAUAGUAAGGAAACAGAAAAGAAAAAAAAAAUGUUUUCCUGCUGCCUAGCGAAUUCCUUUCUUCUUCUUCCUUUCUAUUUGCGAAAAAGUUUGUGUUGGUGGGUUUGAAAACAAAAACACAAACACAAACCCUUAUUUAUCUACCAGAUCUAAGCUCCCUUUCGAGAAGUGACAAAAGGGAAAGUUGCUCCUUGCCACGAUGCGGUGCUAGUGAGCUAGUUUUCGAAGCGACUACGCGAGCAAAAAUCUUACCGUGAUUAAUUGUGGUGUCGUAAUCGGUUGUUAAAGCUACAACGAAGGUAAGGGCUCCUUCCAAACUUUUAGUUUGCAUUUAGGACCUUAUAUGUGAAUUUGUGAAAAAUAAGUUUUAUGUGUUUGAGGUAUAUUUGUGGAAAAAUGAAUUUAAUUUGAUUUAUGAGUGGAUUAAUGGAAUUUGAAUUUGGUGUGUUUGAGGUGUGGUUUGUGGUGAUUCAUGUUUGGUGGGAUUAAUGUGUUCAUAAUUAAUAUUAUGAAUUUUUUAGAUGUGUUUUAUCUGUGGAUUUGUGAAAAAUGAAAGGUGAUUUAAGUGUGGUUGAGGAAAUUGUUUUGAUGUGUUUGAGGGGUGGUUUGUGGAAAUUAAUUUGGUGUAAAAUUAUGUUUGAAAUUGUGGAAAUUAAUGGGUGAAUUAUGAUUGAAAUAUGUGGAGUUGUAAUAUGGGUGAUUUGCGGAUUAAAUUUAGUGAGAAUUGAGAAAAUUGAAAUUGACGGGUGAAUUUUUGAAUUAAAUUUGAGGUAGUUAAUGAGUGAAUUUGUGGAGAUUAAUUUGGAUGAGAUUAUGUGCUCAUAAUUGAUAUUAUGAAUGAUUGUGGUGUGAUGCUGUGGUGAUUAAGUUUUGAUGUGAUUAUGUGUUUAAAACUGCUAUAUGUAUGUUUAAGGUGCACUGAAGUGCAAUUAAGUGGUGAUUGCGAUGGGCCACAAUGUUAAUUAGUGACCGCGAUGGGCCACAGGAUGGUUCUAUGAGUUGAUUGGUUCAUCUUAUCCUUACGAGGAUUUAACUAUGGUAUUUGUCCGUGAGAGACUACGCCCUAGUAAAUCGUGUUUGUUCGUGAGAGACUGCAUUAGUGAUUGUCUGUGAGAGACUACACCCUAGUAAAUCAUGUUUGUCAAUGAGAGACUGCACUGGUGUUUGUCCGUGAGAGACUACACCCUAGUAAAUUGUGUUUGUCCAUGAGAAACUGCACUGGUGUUUGUCCGUGCGAGACUACACCCUAGUAAAUCGUGUUUGUCCGUGAGAGACUGCAUUGGUGUUUUUCCGUGAGAGACUACACCCUAGUAAAUCGUGUUUGUUUGUGAGAGACUGCACUCGUGUUUAUCUGUGAGAGACUACACUCUAGAAAUCGUGCUGGUAUGUGAGAGACUGCACUCUUGUGAAUCGUGCUGGUCUGUGAGAGACUACACUCUUUUAAAUUAUGCUUGUCUGUGAGAGACUGAACUCUUGUAAAUCGUGUUGGUCUGUGAGAGACUGCACUCUUGUGAAUCGUGCUGGUCUAUGAGAGACUGCACUCUUGUAAAUUGUGAUGGUUAGUGAGAGACUGUACAAUUACAAUUUACACCUCUCGAGGAGAGCUUUGGUUUGGAAUUUCUAGAAUCAUGCAUUUUGGCAUAUACGCAUUGCAUUAGGGUGUUUGGCACGUGAGUCAUGUUUGAUAUAUUGUGAUGAUUGUAUAUACAUACUCAGUUGUUGUCUACGUGCGAUCAUUGAUUUUGUGUUGUAAGUGUUGAAUGAUUUCAAAACGGUUUAAAAACUAAAAAUCUGCAUUUUUCAAAGUUGUAUUCGAAUACGACAUCAUAGAGUUUGCUACUGACUUAUCAUUUCGCACUUGUAUUCGAAUACGACAUGACUGUAUUCGAAUACGACAACACAUAUUUUGCCACUAACUUGCACAAUAUUCGGAUACGAGAUUUAUGUAUUCGGAUGUGACAGGAUGAUUUUGCUACUGAAUUAUGAAUUAGCACUGUAUUCGAAUACGAAAGGGCAGUUUUGUUAAAAAAUUCAUUUUUCAACCUUGAUUAUGCAUGUUUGGCAUAUGAAAACCCUUUCAAGGUGUAUGCUAAGUUGAAAGGUUAUUUUGUGUAUUUGAAAUUUAAAUGUUAUGUGAUAUUUGUUAGUUUCGGUUGGUGAUUCUUUACAAUUAUUGUGGAAAUCUAGGCUUUGCCCUCAGAUGAGAUCCAGGAUCAUCCUACCGGUUAGUACCCUGGAGAUGGGAAGGUAGUUAGACAUACCUGACCGAAGUUGUGUCAGGAGGAUUUUGCAGGGAGCGUGGAGAUCACCCGAAUUGUAUAGUUUUUGUAGCAUGAUCAGAUUAGAUGGUUGUAUAGGGGCUAGAUGUCUUUCUUUUGUGGAUGUAUUUAUUUCAAUUUGGAACACUGUACCUAUACCUCAUAUUGUCAGCUUGGCUUUUAUUUUGAUGGGUCCUUGUACCAGUUUUGAUGCGAAGUGGGGAAGUUAAAAUUCUUGAGGCAGUGCUUUUGUACAUGUGUCUGCCGAGAAUACCCCAGGGGUAUGAGCUAUGUCUGAUUGGUCUCAUAGCCCCAGUGUAUUUUGCUGUUUAAAUACUUUGGAUUUUUGUUUCAAAAAUUAUUUCCGCUGCUUGUAAAUAUUGUUGACUUUUUCGUUGUGUUCGACUUAAAUAUUUUAUCCAAAAGUAUUUCUUUCUUAAUUUCUGAAAUUUGAUUUUUGUUUUAAAAAAAAAAUUACACUCGCGAUGUUAAAAAUCGGGGUGUUACAUUAAUGAAUACAAUAUGUCUCUAAAUUUAACAAAUUUCGUCGCUAAACAUUGUAGAGACGGAAUUGGAGACAAACAUGUUCCGUAAUUGGUUUUCGCAUCUCUAAGACGUUAGAGACAAAUUUUAUAAUUUGUCUCUAAUUAAAGACGGAGUAUGUCCAUGUCUAUCAGAGAUGGAUAUAUCACUUCCGUCUUCAAUAAAAUUUAGUUUUGUCCGUCUCUAGCUUAUCACAUUCCAUCUCUAAUAUAUGAACAAUUUUUUUUAUUAAGCUCUCACAAAUCCAUCUCUAAUUAUUUUGUACCUCAAUAUUUAUGUAUCAAUUUUCAAAUAUUAAAUUUCAUACUUUAUAUAUGACACUGGAUUCCCACAAAAAUUAUAUUUAGAUCAACACCAAUUUAACAAUAAUGUCAUAAAAAGUUCAUAUAACUCUUUCACACAAAAAACAAUAACAAUACACUACAUGCAAUCAAUAUUUAAAUUUGUUCAAAACAUAACAAAUAAUAUUUGAUUUUACAAAAUAUCUAAAUGGAAGUAAUCAAUGCCCAAGGUUAGCAUCCAUAUCAUCACCCAUCUCUUCAUUUUCAUUAUCACUUUCUCCUUCCGGUUGAAGUGUAGAAUUUUGAUUACAAUGAGGCAUAACACUCUCAAACAUCUGCUCCCAAUGCGCCAUUUUUUUAAUCAUUUAUUGUUCAAGAUUCUUUUUUUGAAGGUCAACCGUUAAAGCUUCAAUCUUACCUUCCAUAGCAGCAACUUGUUCUGAAGAUACAUCAAAAAUUGUAGAUGAUUAUUUUAUGAAUGCUUUGAUAUUUGCAACUUUAGAGACGGACAACAUUUGAGAUGAAAUUGUUUCGUCUCUACAUUUUGUCUCUAUAUAUAUUUUUUAUUUUAUUUUUAGAGUACAAGUUUGACUUAUUAGAAACAUAUCUUGAGAUGGGUUUAGUGUAACACCCCAAUAUUUUCAUAUAUAUUAUAUAUGCGUCUUUUAAUAAUUUUCGUAAUUGAUUAUUUAAUUAAUAUUUUAUUCUAUAUGUGAAGAAAUUAAAUUAAAAUUUACCACUCUCUAAUUUACUUGAAUUAUUAUAACUUUUAUUUUUAUUUAAUUGUUUUGGUGUGACAAUUACAUUAGAAUGAUUUAUAGCAUAAUUAUUUCCUAUGUGGACAACUCUGUAUUUUGUUUAUUUGAUUAGUUUUGAUAAUCAUGAAAUUGAUGUGUUAGAUACAUUGGCUUUAUUUUGUUAUACGUGACCUGCAGUGAUAUUUUUUCUUACUUGAUUUAUUUUUGUUGAUGAAAACAUUAGUUGAAUUUAUUUAAUUAAAUUACAAUUUAUAGAAGUUAUAUCGUUUAUUAAUUUUAUUUUAGACCAAAUAAGUAUUCGACCUAGGAGAUAGUAGAGUUAGUGAAAAUCCUUAGUUUUAUUUAUAUAUUAUAUUUAAUUAAUUUAGUGGGACAAUAAUAAGAUAAUUGUUCCUUUAAUGUUUAAUUAUUUGAUGAAGUAUAUUAUUAUUAAUUAAUUGUUGGGGUUUUGUUAGUAAUUAAUUAAAACUCGCAGGAGUAUUUUGUUUUUAGACUGAACAAUGACCAAGUCAAUUUCGGUUAAAAUUUAAUCAGUCACACUACUACUCUUGAUAAAUAUAUUUUAUUUUUAAUAGCAUUUAGUUAUAGAACCGUGUGUUUCCUACUUUACAUCCACUCAAAUGUGUAACAAGCAAGAAUGAGUACAUGAAUGUCAAUUAAGUCAUUGAAUGAUAUUAUUCCAAUUGAAUACCUUAUUGAUGUGUGCAAUUAACCUCAAUGAGAAGAAUUAUUCUCUUCCUCCAAUCAGUUUCACAUCUCCAUAUAAAUCUCAUACACCUCUUCCUCACAUAAUAUGAUAAAACUUGCAACUAAUCACCCUUAACUCACACGCAAUUCCCAAUAUUAUAUUUUUUUUAUCUCAAAUAUUUUCUAAGUCACUAAAACAACCACCCACAUAUUCCAUCUCUUUCUUGUGGAAGUUCUAAGCUUUUGUUCCUUCAUCUUUAUGAGGUUUUUCGAGGGAUAUAUAGUGUUACGUGGAAGGAAAGUGUCCAAGGUAAGGGCUUUUCUCCAUUCAGAGUUAGGCUAGAUAUUAAAUUAGUGGUUCAUAGGAUAUUAAUAAGAUGUCUAGAUGUCUUAAAAGAAAAAGAUUAAUUUUAUUUUUGUCGUGAAGAAAUUAACUAUAAUAUUUUGAUUGUUUCUUUUGAAUAAUACAUCUAUCUUGAUGAACUUAAUUAUAAAGUUUUAUUUUUAUUAUUAUCCCUUAAUAAAUAUGUUUGUAGUGAAAAUGUUUAACGCCUUACGUGUUUUAGAGUACUUAAUUAUAAAGUUAUAAUUUUUAUGAUGAUAUCAUCAGUAUUAUGUUUGUUAUGAUGUAGUUGAUAUUAAGUCUUGACUUUUUGAGUAUUUAAAAUUUAAAAUUUGACUUUUAUAAACAAUAUAUGGGUAAUGAGGAAAUUGAUGAAAAUUUUAUAUUUUUAAUUUUGACAAUAUGAGAAAAUUGAUUUAUUGAAAUGUAUUAAUGUAUAGUUCUUUUUUAUAAUGUGGAAAACUUUAUAGUGAAUGAAAUAAAAUUUCUAUUGUUAUUGUAUUCUUGGUAAUAUGAGUUUUAACUUUUAUCAAUAAUAAGUAGCCAAAUCUAAUCUUAUAGAUUAUUAAAAUGAAAGUGAUGAAGUUAUUGAGCUCUAACUAUGAACAUCCAUGAGAAUUUGAUGUGUUUUGUGCUUAAAAAAUUUAAUCUGAAUAUUUUAUAUAUUUGGUUGCCUACGUGGCUGGUGAUUUGUAUUUUAAAUAUUGUUAUCUUUGUGGUUGCCUAUGGCUGAUGAUUUGGCUUUUAAAUAUUAUUAUCUUUGUGGUUGUCUAGGUGGCUGGUGAUUUGUGUUUUAAAUAUUGUUAUCUUUAUGGUUGCCUAAUUGGCUGGUGAUUUGUGUUUUAAACAUUGUUAUUUUUGUGGUUGCCUUAGUGGCUAGUGAUUUGUGUUUUAAAUAUUGUUAUCUUUGUGGUUGCCUAAGUGGCGAGUGAUUUGUGUUUUAAAUAUUGUCAUCUUUGUGGUUGCCUAAGUGUCUCUGAUAUGUGUGAUUAUCUAAGUGGUUGAUGACAUGUACCUGUUGAGCAUAAUUAUCAUUUUAUGAUAUAUCAUAUGCAUCUUUGUGGACACUUGUGUGGCUGGUUUAAUUUUUCCCAAUUGGUGAGUGACUUCUGUGUGGACGCCUAUGUGGCUGGUUAUAUCCGGAUCAUAUAUGUUUAGGAGCAUGCAUAAUUUGCAUAUGUUUUAUUGUUAUUUUUAUUUUGAUCUAAUUAUUUGUUCUACGGUUGCUACUUUAUUUAUUUAGAUACAUUUUAUGACUUUUGAUACAUAUUUGAGAACUAUUAAGGAAUCAAUUUCUUUAAAUCUUUUAUUACAAAAAAAAAUUUAUAUUCAUAUUUUAUGGGUGUUAAUUUAUUAUUUGGUUUAAUUUUUGUUGUGGGAUGAACUGACCCCUUACACCAACAUUAGUUGCAUGAAUAAUGAUGUUUGAUUGAUCCAUGCGUGUGGGAAAAUGAGACUUUUACUUAAAAAUAAUGUUUUGUAUUACUAAAAAUUUUGUGGGACAUUGUAAAGUUAUUUACGCUUCAUCAUUAAAUUUUAAUAAAAAUGCGGAAUGGAGAUUUCAUUUGCUAGUAAAUAAUUGAAUGUCAUUAAUUUUAGUCAAUCUUGUUGUUUUUUUAAUUUCACUUAAAAAUAAUUUAUUUUAUUUUGGAGCAUAGAUGAAUAUCGAUCUAACAACUGAAAUAUUAAUUUUGAAAAUAAAUCAAUAAUUAAUAUUUUAGUAAAUUGCAUUACGUUCUUUUACAAAAGAAAAUAUAUCAAGUCAUUUUCUGACGUAUCUUCAAAUUAUUAUAUGAUGAACUACUCAUAAGAAAAAAAAAAAAUAGUUGUUUCUAAAAGAAAAUAAAUAUUUUAAAAUAGCCUCUGGAAAAAAAAAAAAACUUGGGGUGUUACAUUGUGGUAUCAGAACACUAAUUCUCGGACCUUGUGGGGGUGGAUGUGUCGUGUAUGUUGCAUGUAUUGUGAUGUUGCUGGUGUUAUUUGUUUGAUUUUCUAAUUUGUGAAUUUUAUUAAUUACUGAAUUUUUUUAAUUAUAUAUGUCAUUAAUUGUGUAGCAUUCUUGAAUUGGAAUUUUACUAAUUAUUUAAAUUUCUAUUAUGUGUCAUUAAUUGUGUAACAUCCCUAUAUUUGAAUUUUACUAAUUACUUAAAUUUCUAUUAUUGUCAUUAAUUAUGUUAACUAUUUGGUUUCUAAAAUUUGAAUUUUAUUAACUACUUAAAUUUCUAUUAUGUGUAAUUAAUUGUGUAACCUUGGUGAAUUUGAAUUUUUCUAAUUACUUAAAUUCCUAUUAUUGCCAUUAAUUAUGUUAACUAUUUGGUUUUCUAAUAAUUGAAUUUUAUUAACUACUUAAAUUUCUAUUAUGUGUCAUUAAUUGUGUAACCACCUUGAAUUUGAAUAUUUAAGAAUUACUUAAAUUCCUGUGCUAUUAAUUAUGUUAAUUGUUUGGUGUUCUAAUUAUUGAAUUUUACUUAAAUUCUUAUGUGUGAUUAAUUGUGUAAACUCCAUGAAUUUUUGUCAUUAAAUAUAUGACUUAAAUAUUUGGUUUAAUGGUGUUAUUUUAUUAUUUAUUUAGUUUUUUUAAAAUCUGAAAUCUCUAUGUCUAGUUGUAUGUUUCCUUAGCAUUGUCUUUUUAUAUUAUUUAGAAAUCUUCUAUUUAAUUUGAUAGAUUUUACUAUCUUUUUAUGAAAUUUUUUUAUUUGUUUAUCAUAUCGCUAUUUUAUUUUAAUAAUCUUAGACUCUCUACUUUUGCUCACGUUAAAUAUUUUGUGAUCUACCUAUUAAUUGGCUUAAUUAGUCUUGUUAAUAAUAAUCAUAAAUAUUACAAAAUAAUUUUAUCUUCUACUUGAUACAGAUUAGUAUUAUUAUGUUAUAAAAUAUAUUGUUACAUGCUAUUGUCAUCAUUGUCUCUUUUAUAUUAUUUUUAUGAAACUAUAAAUUUUAGUUCUCUUGAAUUACAAUUUUUUUUUAAAACAAUAUCAUUUAAUUCAAUGUGAUUAUUAGUGUUAGUAAUAAAUUUUCUUUUUAAUUUACUUAGUUAAGAUAUUUUUUUAUAUUUCAAAAGUAUUUAAUAAACUAAUUUGAUUUUGAUUUUAUUUCUUAAAUUAAUUUUCUUAAGGCAAAUUUAGUGUAGUUAUGUUUUCUUUUUGUAUUUAUAUACAUAUACAAGGUUUUCCAUAUUUUAUAAAUAUUGUUUACACACUAUAAGAUGAAGAGUUUAGAUAGUAUGUUGUUGUAAUUAUUUUACCAUUAAUAUUAUUACUAUUACUAUUGUUGUUAUUAUUAUUAUUAUUAUUAUUAUUAUUAUUAUUAUUAUUAUUAUUAUUAUUAUUAUUAUUUCCAUUAUUAUUAUUUCCAUUAUUAUUAUUAUUAUUAUUAUUAUUUGUUAACAUUUAGAUUUUUAUUUUAUGUUAUAAGUUACAUAAAAAAAAGAGACUAAGAAUGAUUUUCCCUUGUCAACAAUCAUUGAAUAUUUUUAUUACUAUAAAAUUUAUUAUGUCUAGUUACCUAAAUAAAAAUGUUUUUCUAGUAUUUAUUAUUAUAAUCUAAAUGCCGCAAAAUUUAAUUUUAAUUUUUUUUUUAAUUUUAUCGUGUUAUUAAUUUUAAAAGUCUGGUUGGAUUAAAAAUAGUUAACAAGGUUGAAAUGAAUGGAAGACGGGAUGCCUUCUGCUCUACAAAUGUAUUAAAAGUUUUUCAAUAGCCCUGAUUUAAAGAAAAAUUAAUGUGAUUAUCACUAAAUGAGUAGGAGAGGUUAAUCACCCUAGUGACUUAAUUUUGAAGAAAGCGAUAACAAUAAUUCAUUUUUACUAUCCUCGAGAAUUUAUUUUACCUAUUAAAAAGACUAUCAAUAUUUAUUUUAUUUUGCAUUGUCUUUAUGAGAUAAAUUACAAUAUGUGUGUGCUAUUAAUAAUGAUAAAUGUAUCAAAUUUAUGGAAUUUAAAAAAAUUAAAUAGGCAAGUUUUAUGAAUAUGUUAAUUUUAUUUGAAUUUCAAUCAUUUUUAAUUUAAUUAAUAAAUUUUAAGUGUUAUAUUAUUAUUAUUAUUAUUAUUGUGAUUAUUAUUUUUUAUUAAUAUUAUUAUUAGUAUUAUUAUUAUUAUACAUUAUUAUCAAUGAAUUUUGCGUAUUAGUAUUGCAUUGUCAAAUUCUAUUGUAUAAUAAAUAAAUAAAUAAACACAAUUAAAUCAAUUUAUAUAUAGAAAAUGAUUUUUUAUGAAAGGAUCUAUCAUAUCUCUCUUGUUCUAUUUUUAAAAUUUUAAAAUAAUGUUAUCAACAUAUAAUUCUAAAUUUGCUCUAUUUUAAUGAACGACAUUCUCAAUUUUGUCUCUUUUAUUUUUCUUUAUAUGUUCAUUUGUUUGCUUUAACUAGUUAAUGUGUUUAGCAAGUAACUUUUAUACAACUCAAGUUUUUAUAUUUUAGUCGAAUUAUUGUUAAUCAAUAAAUUUUUGUAACACUAACGGAGAUUCAAAAGAAUUUUACUUGGUUUAUUAAGAAACGUGUCAAUACAUAUAUGUAACUUGUUCAUUUAUUUUUUUUCUCUCUCUUAGUUUCGAGGACGAAACUAUUUAUAAGGGGGUAAGUAUUGUAACACUCCAAUAUUGUCAUAUAUAUUAUAUAUGCGUCUUUUAGGAAUUUUCGUAAUUGAUUAUUUAAUUAAUAUUUUAUUCUAUAUGUGAAGAAAUUAAAUUAAAAUUUAUCACUCUCUAAUUUACUUGAAUAAUUAUAACUUUUAUUUUUAUUUAAUUGUUUUGGUGCGAUAAUUACAUUAGAAUGAUUUAUAGCAUAAUUAUUUUCUAUGUGGACAACUCUGUAUUUUGUUUAUUUGAUUAGUUUUGAUAAUCAUGAAAUUGAUGUGUUAGAUACGUUGACUUAUUUUUUGUUAUAUGUGACCUGCAAUGAUAUUUUGUCUUACUUAAUUUAUUUUUGUUGAUUAAAACAUUAGUUGAAUUAUUUAAUUAAAUUACAAUUUAUAGAAUUUAUAUCGUUUAUUAAUUUUAUUUUAGCCCAAAUAAGUAUUCGACCUACACUACUAGAAUUCUGCAUUUUUCCUGCGGAUUUGCCUGCGGAUUUAAGCAAAUAUUCCGCAGGAAAGCAUGUUACCUGCGGAUUUCCCGGCGGAACCUUAUCCCCACGUAAAACCUUCGUGGAUAAUUGUUACCUGAGGAUUUCACUAUCCGCAGGUAAAUCACCUGCGGAUAAAUCCGCAGGAAAAUGAAAUAAAAUCCGCAGCAAAGUUUAAAAAAACUUUAGGCAAUUUUUUACGAUUUUUCAUGCAGAAAUAUUUGCAGCACAGUUCCUACAAAUAUAUUUCGUAUGAAAAUCUGCAGGUAUAUCCAUUGCACCAACCAUAUGUUUCGCAUUAAAAUCCGCAGGUAAUUUCGUAUAAAAAUAAUUUUCAAAAAAGAAUCCGCAUGCUUAAAUUUCCACAUUAAAUGAUUUUUUAUUUAUAUAAAAAUUUUAACUAAAAAUAUAUGAAAAUAUUAUUAUAAAUACAUUUUUAAAAUAUUUAAUAUUAAUCUUCAAUUGAAAUACUAUUGCAAUAAUCCAAAACAAAAUUUAUAUCAUGUUUUCAAAUCAAACAUGAUAUAAUGUCUAUAUACAAUGUCUUUUCAAUUGCCAAACUUCCUAAAUAUGAACUUCUUUUGGCUCCUUGGUUUGGAACCCCUUGUACUUUACCAAGUCCAGUGCUGUAGAAUUUCAAAUUGCCUGAUUUAUUGAUUUCAGUUUCUUUAGCAUCACCGAGCAACUUCACGCCCUGAAAUGGAGAUUGUGGUUUACUUCUGCAGGNNNNNNNNNNNNNNNNNNNNNNNNNNNNNNNNNNNNNNNNNNNNNNNNNNNNNNNNNNNNNNNNNNNNNNNNNNNNNNNNNNNNNNNNNNNNNNNNNNNNNNNNNNNNNNNNNNNNNNNNNNNNNNNNNNNNNNNNNNNNNNNNNNNNNNNNNNNNNNNNNNNNNNNNNNNNNNNNNNNNNNNNNNNNNNNNNNNNNNNNNNNNNNNNNNNNNNNNNNNNNNNNNNNNNNNNNNNNNNNNNNNNNNNNNNNNNNNNNNNNNNNNNNNNNNNNNNNNNNNNNNNNNNNNNNNNNNNNNNNNNNNNNNNNNNNNNNNNNNNNNNNNNNNNNNNNNNNNNNNNNNNNNNNNNNNNNNNNNNNNNNNNNNNNNNNNNNNNNNNNNNNNNNNNNNNNNNNNNNNNNNNNNNNNNNNNNNNNNNNNNNNNNNNNNNNNNNNNNNNNNNNNNNNNNNNNNNNNNNNNNNNNNNNNNNNNNNNNNNNNNNNNNNNNNNNNNNNNNNNNNNNNNNNNNNNNNNNNNNNNNNNNNNNNNNNNNNNNNNNNNNNNNNNNNNNNNNNNNNNNNNNNNNNNNNNNNNNNNNNNNNNNNNNNNNNNNNNNNNNNNNNNNNNNNNNNNNNNNNNNNNNNNNNNNNNNNNNNNNNNNNNNNNNNNNNNNNNNNNNNNNNNNNNNNNNNNNNNNNNNNNNNNNNNNNNNNNNNNNNNNNNNNNNNNNNNNNNNNNNNNNNNNNNNNNNNNNNNNNNNNNNNNNNNNNNNNNNNNNNNNNNNNNNNNNNNNNNNNNNNNNNNNNNNNNNNNNNNNNNNNNNNNNNNNNNNNNNNNNNNNNNNNNNNNNNNNNNNNNNNNNNNNNNNNNNNNNNNNNNNNNNNNNNNNNNNNNNNNNNNNNNNNNNNNNNNNNNNNNNNNNNNNNNNNNNNNNNNNNNNNNNNNNNNNNNNNNNNNNNNNNNNNNNNNNNNNNNNNNNNNNNNNNNNNNNNNNNNNNNNNNNNNNNNNNNNNNNNNNNNNNNNNNNNNNNNNNNNNNNNNNNNNNNNNNNNNNNNNNNNNNNNNNNNNNNNNNNNNNNNNNNNNNNNNNNNNNNNNNNNNNNNNNNNNNNNNNNNNNNNNNNNNNNNNNNNNNNNNNNNNNNNNNNNNNNNNNNNNNNNNNNNNNNNNNNNNNNNNNNNNNNNNNNNNNNNNNNNNNNNNNNNNNNNNNNNNNNNNNNNNNNNNNNNNNNNNNNNNNNNNNNNNNNNNNNNNNNNNNNNNNNNNNNNNNNNNNNNNNNNNNNNNNNNNNNNNNNNNNNNNNNNNNNNNNNNNNNNNNNNNNNNNNNNNNNNNNNNNNNNNNNNNNNNNNNNNNNNNNNNNNNNNNNNNNNNNNNNNNNNNNNNNNNNNNNNNNNNNNNNNNNNNNNNNNNNNNNNNNNNNNNNNNNNNNNNNNNNNNNNNNNNNNNNNNNNNNNNNNNNNNNNNNNNNNNNNNNNNNNNNNNNNNNNNNNNNNNNNNNNNNNNNNNNNNNNNNNNNNNNNNNNNNNNNNNNNNNNNNNNNNNNNNNNNNNNNNNNNNNNNNNNNNNNNNNNNNNNNNNNNNNNNNNNNNNNNNNNNNNNNNNNNNNNNNNNNNNNNNNNNNNNNNNNNNNNNNNNNNNNNNNNNNNNNNNNNNNNNNNNNNNNNNNNNNNNNNNNNNNNNNNNNNNNNNNNNNNNNNNNNNNNNNNNNNNNNNNNNNNNNNNNNNNNNNNNNNNNNNNNNNNNNNNNNNNNNNNNNNNNNNNNNNNNNNNNNNNNNNNNNNNNNNNNNNNNNNNNNNNNNNNNNNNNNNNNNNNNNNNNNNNNNNNNNNNNNNNNNNNNNNNNNNNNNNNNNNNNNNNNNNNNNNNNNNNNNNNNNNNNNNNNNNNNNNNNNNNNNNNNNNNNNNNNNNNNNNNNNNNNNNNNNNNNNNNNNNNNNNNNNNNNNNNNNNNNNNNNNNNNNNNNNNNNNNNNNNNNNNNNNNNNNNNNNNNNNNNNNNNNNNNNNNNNNNNNNNNNNNNNNNNNNNNNNNNNNNNNNNNNNNNNNNNNNNNNNNNNNNNNNNNNNNNNNNNNNNNNNNNNNNNNNNNNNNNNNNNNNNNNNNNNNNNNNNNNNNNNNNNNNNNNNNNNNNNNNNNNNNNNNNNNNNNNNNNNNNNNNNNNNNNNNNNNNNNNNNNNNNNNNNNNNNNNNNNNNNNNNNNNNNNNNNNNNNNNNNNNNNNNNNNNNNNNNNNNNNNNNNNNNNNNNNNNNNNNNNNNNNNNNNNNNNNNNNNNNNNNNNNNNNNNNNNNNNNNNNNNNNNNNNNNNNNNNNNNNNNNNNNNNNNNNNNNNNNNNNNNNNNNAUUAACUUCUAUAUUGCAAGCUCAUACAAAUCAUAAUUAAAAAAAAGAAGAAGAAAAAACUAAUAUGAGAAUCUGAAAUGAACAGCACACACUAAGUAGAUGCAAAUCAAACAUAAGUAAAACGAAAUAUGUGACAAGCGUAGGGAACUUUUAUCAGCACAAAAAGUAGAUGCAAGCAAACUGAAAGUAAAUAAUUCGUAAGAAGAAACGAAAUAUGUGAUAAGUACAGGCAAAUCAAACGAAAUCUGAGUGCAAGUAGCAACUUGAAAAAUAAAUCUAUGUGUUGAACAAACGAAAUCAAAGGAAAACUUACAAACGAAGAGCGGGAGGAUGAUGCGCGCGCGAUAGAUGAGAAGCGACGAGGCUACGAUGACUAUGGUUGAGAUGCGGUGGCGAGGUGUGACGGUGGUGAUUUGAGAUGCGACGGUGAUGUGUGAGAGUGGUGGGUUAAGAAUACGCGAGUGUGACGGUGUGAGGGUUUUGUUACGAUAGGCCUAAAUCGAGGGUUUUUUAUGAACAAUUUGUUUUAGAGUUAGCCCUAAAUUGUUAGUUAUGCAAAAAUAGGUCCUUGAUACAUUUCUUUUUUAGCAAAAUAUGUCUUUGUAACAAAAAAAAUUUCUUAAAAAUAUUGAAUAAUUUUAAUGUUUAUACAUGAUUUUUCUUUACUUUUUUAUAAACAAAUAUAAUAAUUAUAUUUUUUUGAGAAUUUUUAUAGUAAAUUUAAAAAUUAAUUUAUUUUAAUAUCAUCAAACUAAAUCGUGAAUGGUUAAAUAAUAUGUCAAUUAGUUUGACUAUAUUUUAAAUUUAAUAUCGUU